rnacentral:lncRNA from 1 species
UUCGGGUAAACAGUUAUAUUUAAACUAUAUCAAUUCAAUGUUCUGUAUUGUAUAAAAGAAUUAAUAUUAUUACAAGUGGUAAAAAGAAUAUGUAAAUACACCGCUGAUCAAAUUUAUGUAGUACAGUAGUAGUUAAGUUUAGAAGUAAAAGAAUGAGAAGUAAGUAAAUAGAGAAAUGGCAUAGCAAGACCACCCUAAGGUGAUGGCUGGGCUGCUACUGCUGCUGCUACUAGAACUACGAGACGCACCGGCUCCUCUACCGAUGCCGCCACUGCCGCUGCCGCCACUGCCGCUGCCGCUGCCGCCACCUCUUCGAGCAACGGCAGAUGUUAGGAGGAGGCAAAUGACAGAAAAUAAAAUCACAACCGUCACAUUCUUCUUCAUUAAUUCCUUGUCAGCUAGUUGUUCUGCAGUUACUUUCUUGAUAUGAUCUAAUUAAUUCGUUUUCUUCUUCCUCUUCCUUUUAUGUUUCUUUUCUCUUUUUUCUUGUGUGUCCUGUGGAUGUGCAAAUUUAUAUCAUACUUCUUAGCUUGAAAAGAUAUAGGCGAUUCACUUAAACCACGAAGUUUCGUUGACACGCUUAAUUCCAAUAACUCAAGUAUUGAAACUAGAUAUUCAAGAGAAGAAUAAGUCAACAAAAGUUGCUAAUAAUAAUAAUGUUUUAGCUGGCGUUCUUUAUUGAAAAGUCAAAAUUCGGACGACUCUUGUCCAAUUAUACAAGUUGGAGGCACCCACCUUAAACUACACUUGUCUCCACCGAUUCAAUGUUUAUUAAUUUUUUUUCUCAACACCUCUAUUCAUUACAUUUUAAAGGUUGUAAAUGGCAUGAUAUACUUCUCCAUAUUGGUAUGACAAAAAUUGAAUAUGAUUUUCGAUGCAAAAUUAGAACUUUUUUUAGAAAAUAAAAAACUAAAAGGAAGUAUUUUUAGUUUUCCAGAAGAAAAAAAAAAGCUCAUAUAUUUGUAUACGGUUAAAAUCGAUCCUCGGUCAUGAAGAUCGAUCGAGGAUGGCAUUUCAAUCGAGGGGUACCUUCAUGGAGACCCCGAGCGAAUUCCGAGAUGGGGGCGUCGAGCCCGGGCGUUCGAACCGACCGAGGUAACAUCGGUCGAUACAGGUCCCGAACAUCGAUGCCCGAAAGUGAUCACCUAGCUCGAAAUCAAGGCCGAGGUUCCAAUCCGAUACCGAGCUCGAGUCGGUAUUGAGUUCACAGACAAAAGCUGUUACAACCGUACCAAAGGAGAGAAUCUCUGCGGGAAUUAAGGAGGAGACGCACCAUCAUGGGUCCUCCACUAGUAAUAUUUAUUUCCAUCAUGUUACUAUAGAUAGAGUAGUGAUCUUUGGCUAUAAAGCCAAGGAGAGUUUGUAAUAGAAUGCACUUUUGGCUGGGAUUAAGAAUUCAUUGUGUUUAUCUUUCUAAAGCUCAUUAAAUAUCUUUGUUCAUCAUCUUCCAUUUUUGUAUCAUAAAUACGUGUAUUGUUAUUUUCAUAUCAAAGGAAUCUACUUGCCCUUAGAACCAUACAUAAAUUCAACGUUAUUCGAUUUUUCGGGUAAACAGUUUGGCGCCCACCGUGGGGCUAAGGAUAACAAGUGACUAUUUGACACAAAUAUACAACACGCUCCAGCUUACAACUUCAUAUCAACAAUGGCUCUGCCAAUCGACCUCGAAGCUGGCCUUCAGGAUGAAACCAACAAUGUGGUGCCCGUGGCCGAAAGGCUACCCAACAACGGCAAUGAGGAUCGAAUCGAGGAACCCGAAAUUCGAGCCGAAGUACCAGUAGAUAUCAAUUCACGAAUAGCUCUAAAAGCGAAUCAACGUUCCGAGCAGGAAAGAAGCGUUCAGGGUGGCGAUCGACCCAUAGCCCGAGACACCCACAACACGGGGGAAAUCGGGGUCAGCUUGCGCAUGAUUUUCGAAAUGCUACAAGCCCAACAAGUAGCGAUAGCUCAGUUGCAGAGCCAAACUCAUAUGCGAAGUAAUCCAAACUCCAAUCCACUUCUUAGAGAAGUAACCCCCAGAACGGAUCCCGACAAAGUGAAACCGAACGAGCAAAAAUCGGGAACCGCUCCUGAAAAUGCUAAAUUGCUCGAGGAACUCACAAAGCGAGUCGAAGCCAACGACAAAAAAUUUGAAACAUAUGAUGCUAGGAUCGAUCAGAUCCCGGGGGCUCCGCCCAUGAUGAAAGGGCUGGAUUCAAAGAAAUUCAUACAAAAGCCUUUUCCAUCGAGCGCGGCCCCGAAACCGAUCCCAAAAAAAUUCUGUAUGCCCGUAAUUCCCAAAUAUAACGGUACGACCGAUCCCAACGAACAUCUCACCUCCUAUACAUGUGACAUCAAAGGCAACGAUUUGGAAGACGACGAAAUCAAGUCUGUAUUAUUGAAAAAGUUCGGAGAGACCCUCGCAAAAGGAGCAAUGAUCUGGUAUCACAACUUGCCACCGAAUUCUAUCGAUUCUUUUGCCAUGUUAGCAGAUUCGUUCGUAAAAGCACAUGUUGGUGCCGUAAAGGUCGCAACAAGGAAAUCAGAUCUAUUCAAAGUAAAACAAAGGGGUGACAAAAUACUGAGGGAAUUCGUAUCCCGGUUUCAAAUGGAAUGCAUGGAUUUGCCACCAGUCACAGACGACUGGGCCGUACAAGCUUUCACCCGAGGGUUGAACGGACUGAGUUCGACAACAUCACGUCGGCUAAAACAAAGCUUGAUCGAAUACCCUGCAAUAACUUGGGCGGAUAUACACAAUCGGUAUCAAUCAAAAAUCAGGGUCGAAGAUGAUCAAUUGGGAUUUCCGUAUGAACCCACGCGUCAGAACCGCACAACCACUAAAAUUCUGAAGGAAACCAACAGAGAACAAAGGUCAAACAGAGACCGAUACCAACCGUACGUCACAGAUCGGGUGAACCACGGUUCAGCGCAUGAGAUAAUUAGGAAUAACCGCAGAUAUGAUCGGGGGCAAAAUUCUCGGGGGCUUAUGAGCAAGAGAGGUUUUGAUAAACAUGUCGAUCCUAUAGAAGUUCCUCGAUCGGAAUAUAACUUCAACAUCGAUGCAUCCGCCAUCGUAUCGGCUAUCGGACGCAUCAAAGAUACCCAAUGGCCUCGACCCAUGCAGACCGAUCCGGCCCAAAGGAAUCCCAAUCAAAUAUGCGAGCUCAAAAUGGUAUAUUGUUUUCAAAAAUACUUAAAUAUAUGUGUAUCUAUCCAAGCUCAAAAUGUUAUAUAGUGUAAUGGUAUUGCGUGCACCUUUCUAAGUGAGACUAUGAGUUCAAAUUUUAUGUCAUUUUAUUAUUUUUUCCUUCUUGUUUUCCUAGAAUUAGAUGCUCAUGGGAGAUGAGUAUAUCUGGUGUCACUUUUUGCGUACUAAUUAAGUACUUUUGUUUUCUUUGUUUGAUUUAUUCUUUCAAAAUGAUCACAUAUUGAAAUUCUUAUUCUUCAUUUUUUACCGUAUAAUCUUAUAAGUAUGAUUAAAUGAACGGUAAAGGGUCAAAAAUACCCUUUUACUAUCGACAAUUGUUUAAAGAUACCCUCCCUUAUACUAAUUGAGCAAAAAUACCCCUAUCGUCUUACUAUUGAAUAAAUAUACCCCCAAGUUAACAGAGAGGCCACGUGACAAUCAUUUAAGCUAUUUGAUCCAUCCGGAUUUAUAUUUACAGUAACCUGACCCAAUAUCCGGUACCCACCCUAAAAAUUACACUUAUUCAACCACUUUUAAAUAUGAACCUAACUUUUUGGUCCUUACUUCAUCUCCUUCGUUGAAGCCUUUUAUAUACAAAUGCACUUUUAAGAACUCAAGAAAUGAAGGUCCAUCUCUAUUUGCACGUCCACAUUGAUAAACCCAAGAAAAGAAAGAUUAAAUCUCCAUAAGAGUAAAAGAUAUAAACUGUUUAUAUUUCUAAUCACUUAGAUCUAGUUAUUGUUGGCAACUUUUUAGAGUGGUAAUGGAUGACGAAGGUGAGUUUCUUUCUCGCUAAUUAUCCAAAAAUCCGAAAAUAAACCAUAUAACAAUAAGAAGAAGAAAUCAACAGAAAUUCAAUCUGAGAAUUUAAUUGCUGAAAAAUUUGUUGAAGUAACAUCAUGAGGGAUGAACGGUGUAAGCUUGUGCAACCAUUAGAAUUCGGGAAACAUGUGGAGAAGAAGAGGUUAGCUUUGAGACCAAUUUAGAGUAAAAAUAAUGGAAAAGACAGUAGCACUGAAUUAUUUGAAAGUGUAAUGACAAGGAAUCCAAGAUCAACGGUCUAUGAAGGUUGAUUGGAAGAUAUUACAGAGUUCUUUGGUAGUAUGAUUUAUGAAGCCUUUGCAGCUAAAAAUCUGAAGAUAUGAUUAUGUUUUUCUGGAUUGAAGACUUGGGGAGGGGUCGUUGUGAUGUUGAAUAAGGGUUUAAUUUCUAGGGUGGAUACUUGGUCUGGGUCGGGUCGGUGUAAAAAUAAAUUUGAAUGGGCCAAAUGACUUAAUGACUGUCACAUGGCCCCUCCGUUAACUUGGGGUAUAUUUGUUUAAUAGUAAGACGAUAGAGAUAUUUUCGCUCGAUUAGUAUAAUGGAGGAUAAUUUUAAACAAUUUUCGAUAGUUUUUCGUUAAAUGAAAUGUGUAUAUUAAAGCUAGUAACAAUGGAUGAUGUAGCAUAUAGUUAAUGAGUUCAAUUUAUCCCAACGUUUUCGACAUGGAUUAUAGAUAUAGAUGUAAGAAUAUUACUUUCUAAAAAAUAAUAAGUUUGAACUUAUAUUUUCAAAAAUAUAAUGGAGGAAAUAGUGAGAACUAAAGGUUAAACCCGUAAAAUUUAUAUCCUGGAUUCACUUCUUCAUAAUAGUGCAAUCAUCUUCUCAAAAUCUUGGAUACACCUCUGUCCUCCUUUCUUGUUUUCCUUCUUCCUCCUCUUUCUUGCUCUUCUUCCAAAAACUUAUGAGCACACUAGCUAAAAUUAAAAAGAAUGAGAUGGGUUUGUAGAACAUUAAAUAUCCAUGGCUUAUUUGUAGUUGUAAUUGAGUGUGUAAUAUUAAAUUGAGCUUAUAUUGUCUAUCCCUAUUGAUUUUGUUUGAUUGAAGAAAAAUUAAAGAAUGUCAUUAUUAAAUUUGGUGAGCUUGAUAAUUUUUUGUUAAACAAGACAAAGUAGAUCUAUUAAUUUUUGAAUGUUAGAAUUUGUAUUAGAAAGUUGAAUAUCAAUUUUGGCUUCACUUGGAUUCGUGUCAUGACCCAAAACUAUGUGACCCGCACCCGAUACAUUAUCUGACCCGAGCGAACCAACCUAUAUGAUACACCCAAACCAUAUGUAUGAAAACCAAUUUAAUUGUAGAAACUCUUUGAAAAUCAUAUAUAUAUAUAUAUAUAUAUAUAUAUAUAUAUUUUCAAGUUAAACGAUGGAAUAUUUGCCCACUUCGACAAUGCAUGAAGCAUCUCAUUAUCAUAAAAAUAAGAUUAAGUAAAAUAAAUAUCUUUUCAUGUAUGUCGUGUACAAUCCCAUUAAUACAACACUUCACAACUAUCUAUGAAACCUCUAUACCAAAGAAUAGAAUUAAAUACUCGGGUUAAUGCCCGACUAACAUAAAUUAAGAAAAUAACAUUAUAGAGUUGUUAGCAUGCCGUAUAUCAUAUCUCAUCCUAAAAUAUGUAAAGUAACUAGGGCCCUGGAGGAGAGCCCCCGAGGUUUAGUACACCAAUGCGGUACUCAAUAAGUGUCAUAGAUUCUCUCUAACUCAAGUUCCUGGGAUAAAAUUUUACAAAAAACUAUGCAAUCAUCAUUUGACAUAAAGUGAUAAACAGUUAUAUAAAUCAUGCUCUUUAUCAUUUUAAAUAAAAGGCAAGUAAAAUGUAAGUUAUGCUAUAAAAUUUUAGAACGUCUCUAUCAACACAGGAUUUUUAUAGAAAUCUUAUAAAACCAUUUUAAUCUCAUUAAAUCAUUGAAAUCAUUUUUGGCUCCUUAGGCCUAAACAUAAGAAAGCUCUCUUUUACCUUUCACUGGGAGUGUUAUACCGACACCGACAUAAUGAACAACUAUUAGGUGAUCAACCUAGCAACAAGCAUUUGACCCUACUUGUCUGGGAGACUUCCCGUAGUGCCAUACGAGUCGACUUAGCCUCAUUGCUUUAAGUAAUGAUCAUUUUUCCUCUCAAUGUAGGACUUUAUCCCACAAACCUCAGCUUAGCCUUGGAAUGUGUCCUAACAUCGGCACGUGUAGUUCCAUGGUAACGAACUCAACAUUCGAACCAAUUUCAGUGGUCUCCACUAGUAACUCCCAAAAUAUUUAACAUAUCAAAAAUAGAUUCAUAGCAUAAUCUAUUUUUAUCAAAUCAUGAUUUUCAUAGCAAAUCCAAACUAUUUGAACAAAGUUAAAUGAAUAAGCUUUUUCAUGUUAAAACCUUUAGCAAUUUAACCUCAAUCUAAAGAUACAAAAAGUGCUACCUUUAUUGAAAUUUCCAAAGACAAGCUUAUUCAUGAAAUAUAUCUUUAGCACUCAAGCAUUUUAUCAAAAUAUAAGUUUUAAUAAAACUUAUAAUAUUUUCCUUAAGCGUCAUUUUGCUAACAAGUUCGAAAAUAAGAUUUUUAUAAAAUUACAUGAUACUUCAUAAGAAAUAAUUUAGAAACACAUGGUGACAUCUUUCCCGCUUGUCCCCAAAAGUACGAAUGCACAUUUACAAAUAAUAUAAUAUAUCAACUCAAGACAUGAUUUUAAAGAGAAUCCCUCAAGAAGAGUAAGUCUUAAUCAACUUACCUCAAACUUCAAGCUCCAAAAAUACUAUAAUUCUCUAAUUGAUUAAAAUGCCCAAAUAUCGCCAACAAUUCGACAUCUACCAUUAAAUAUGCUAACAACAUAAAAACAAACCCGAAAAAAUUCAUAAAUAUCUAUUUAGGCUUCACAAGCCGGCAACAAACCUUCAAUCAUUCCAAAUUAUUCAAUAGGUUCACCCAUUAGCCUAUUCAAAUUUAUUUUUUAUCAUUUAAUACCCAUUUGGAGUCAUUAAUGAUAUUACGUAAAUUACCCAAUAUCAUCAAGUCAUUAUUCAUUGCCUUCUCCAACAAAACUCUAGGUUCAAGAACCCCAAUUUCAAGAACUAGUGUUGUAUCUUAUCCAAAUGGUUAUUUUCACUUCAAUUCGUUCAUCAAUUAAGUUAUCAAGUCUAUUGGAAUCAUUAGAAACUCAAGAUAAUUUCAUUUAUAUCAAUUCAUUACUAUUCAUCUUCUUCUUUGUCCAAAAUAUCAUUCUUAAGACCCACCCUUAAGGUUCAUACAAUAUCCCAUUACAACUUCAAAUAAAAUUCAUAAACAUGCUACUCAUACUCUAAUAUGUCAUAUAUAUGAAGCUCAAGCGAAGGGAUUACCUCUUGGUGGAAGAAUCUCAAUUUUCCUCUUUUUGGUGUUCUUGAAGAUUCAACCUAUUUCCUAUAGAUUUGACCCACAAUAAUAUUAGUUUUAUCACUAAAUGAUGUUAUAUAAUCAUCCUUAUACCAAAAUAACUUACCUUGAAGUAUAUCCAUGGUGGAAGAGCUCCUCCUUUUCUCUAGAAAUCAAUUUUAAGUUGAAGAACUAACUCUUUCUAUCUCUAAACCCCUUUUUCAGCACUUUUUAAAAUGACCCCUAAAGCUACGCAGCCUCUCUGCGUAGCCUAUGCAUAAACCCUACUCAGGAGGCCUUCCGUUGGCAAAAUCUAGAAUUGGCUAUGCAGGUUGCGGAGCCUGUUGCGUAGCUGCACUACCACCUUUUGAUAAAAAGGUCAUAACUCCUUGUAGGAACUUCCAAACGAUGAAGUGUUUGAAACAUUUGAUAGGUCAUACACCAUAUAACACUUCAUAUCUUGAGAGUUAUACUCGUUUGAAAUUAAGUCUUGUGCGAACUCAUUUAAAACUUUAGUCCAUCAUAUAACUUCCAACUUGACUUAGCCUUAGGACUUUUUUUUAGACCAUAAACUGUUUAUAAUAUACCUCAUACACAUAUUAUCAUGUUCAAAUAAUAUCAUUCAUAUCAUUAGCCCUUGCUCACACGUAAAUUAAUAUAAUUAGCACACGUCGAUCUUCUUUAAAGCCUUUAAACAUUUCAAAAUUUUCGGGGUUUUACAAUUUGAUUUUGACCAAAAUUCUGUUAAUUCGUCUAGACUUUAUAGCCAAAUUUUGGCGAUUCGUCCCAUCCGUCAGGAUUUGAUCAUAAAUCUCGGCAAUCCUUCUGGAUUGUGGCCGUAGCCAAAUUGUGAUGAUUCGUCCCACCCGCAAGUUUUUCCCAUCAAUUCUAAAUUCUGGCGAAUCGACCUAAUCCUGGUUGGAAAUCUGUUAUUUUGCAAAACCUUUCUUAAAUGAAGUCAAAAUUCAAAUAAUGGCACUGAAAUAAAGAAUUCAAUAACUUUGUGUUCCUGUUAAACAUAUACUUAAUAUGUUUCAACUUAUGUGGACAUAUUUUCUUUUUAGUUCGUGUAAAAAAGAAUGAUGACUUUCCAUAUUUAAAAAUAAUUUACCUUUAUGCAACGAUUUAUAGUUACACUAAAUAUAUGUGCCUUAUUUUGUACCACAAAUUUAAAAAUCUUCUCAUUUUUUUAAAAUUUUAUAUUCAGUCAAAUAGGUUCAAAGGAGAAAGUUUUGCUACAAAAUUGAAUCCGCACGUGGUCCCUCUAUCUGUAUUUGCAGCCAUCGGGUCUCUUUCACGUCAAAGCCAAUCAAUUUCCAUUUAUUCCUCAAAGCCGCGUAGGUGGAUCUUGUCCAUCACUUUCACCAAUCGUACAUUCUGCCCUGUUUCUUUUUCAUUGAGAUGGAAUUAACAUGGAUAGUAACUAUUCAAGUUACCUAUUUCAACUUGUUUGAAGUUGAAAUUGAGGAGUAGAUUUUAUUGUUGUUGGUGUUAAAUUACAACCCUUCAUUCUAUUUAUAUCUAUAGCAGAUGUUCUGCAAGCUGCAUCAUUAUCGUUUGGUAUAAUAUAUAGUAAGAAUUAUGGUAAUUAUAACUUUAUCCCAUAUUUGGUCUAAAUUUUGAUUUACCCUGUAUAAAGUUAUACACCAAUUUUGGUUUAACUUCGUACUACUAUCUAAUAUGGAAUAACUAAUCCAUGUAUAACUUAUACAUGGAUAAAAAAUAAAAAAAAGACAAUUAUCCAUGGCCAAUAAAAGUAAGCAUCCAAGGGUAUAAUUGUAAACUCAUUGCUUUUUAAUUAAAAAUAAAUAAAUAUUUUAACUAAUAUCUUGUAUAUUCAGUUUUAGUGCAAUACACCAAACACCCAACAAGAAAUAAUCUUUGUAUAACUGAUCCAUAUAUUACUAAUUCCUACGUAAGAAUUAUAAUUGUUUGUUAGAUCGGUUGUAAAAAUACUUAUUGUGCAAACAUUCAAUUCCGUGACAUAAUCACUGGGCAUUGUUUUGUGAAAGCGUCUGUUAUUCAACUAUCCAUGAUCUUUAUUUAUGAGCUCUAGGGCAUUUAUUCCAUGUAAUCCAGAGUGUAGUCACAAGCAUUAGACGCAACAAGAAAAAAUGGUAGGUUCAUGUAAAAUUUAGUGAGAAGUAAUAUUUUCAAAAAUUUAUAUAUCGGUUGUUACAAGGACCUCAACCUGAGUUAAAAUCUAAAAAUAAAUAAAAAUUUGCGGGCCUUAGCUUCUCUUGUCAUUCCCUACCUGCAGAAAUGGAGAAGAAAAUUCCUCUUUAGAUGUUUAAUGUACAACACACACUCCACAUCAAGAGGAUCCCAUAUACUAAUUCUGGAGCUUGCUUCAUUCCCCCAGGCCUUCAAAAAGAACAUGGGAACCUUAUUUGUUUGUGGAAUGCAGGAUCAUCUCUUUGGUGAAUGUCAACAUCCUUAAAACAACUAAGUCGAAGCUUCACCCAGGAAUAUUUCAGAACUGAUGCCAAUUUCUCCUUCUGGAGGUCGUCGUUUCCUCCCCGUAAUCAAUCAAAAUUAAUACAGCUAAGUCUAACCAAUCACUUGAAUCUAAUUCAACCUUAAAAAUAUCAAAAAUUAAUUCACAAGCAAUCUGAGGCAAAAGAUAGGCGCUUUGCAGUGAGAAGAUCACCCAUCCAUUCAUUCAUACAUCACUUGCCGCCCUUCAUAUGUAGGUUUCUCAUCCCGACAUUGACCUUUUCCACACCAGAUUCACUCUUCACCUCUGUUUGGUUUAGACUUUUAACGUUGAGCCAUGGGUGUUGCACGCACUGCUGAGCUGUUGGUCGAUUCUCUGGCUCAAAAUCAAGAAGGGGACAAAGAAAUUUGGCUAAUUCAUGGGCAUCAAUUUCAGAAAAUCUAAAUUUGUCAAUAAGUAAUUUUUCUAAAGACCCGUGCUUCAGCCUCCGGAUCCUCUUCAAAUCCCCAUAUUUGUCAAAGUAAUCUUUAGAGCGAGCCCCACCAUUGGCUAUCUGCUUUACCAACGGUAUUUAUCAGAUAUGAUGUCAACGAUUACUUGUCAAAAGAAUUCUUACAGGGUCACGAAAGCAAAACAAUGCGCUCACCUUCCGGGGCAUCUUUCCUAGAAGCUCCAUCAUCAUAGCAAGGUGAUCCUGAAACCAAAAAAGAUACUAAGAAAUACAUACAAGUGCUGCUUGUGAAAAACUUUUGAUUGUGCAAUAAAAUCCAUUGGAUAACUCCACUUCACAUGUAUAAAAAAAGCUGAUCUUAGAUCAAAAUAAACUUCGUAAACAUGUUAAUAGAAAGUGAGGGCCUUCUGCCCAUUCCAACCAUCCAGUGAUCCCCCAGUUCUCCUAGCUAAGAAGACGGAUAACAUUGAAACAAAAGGAACUGAGCACAAUAGUAACACCGAAAGAACAGGGUCAAAAAAGGGAUAGAUGAAUUUUUCCUACCUCAUCUUCACUGAAACCUUGUCCACCUUUGGGUGUGAACAUCAUCUCCCCAGUAGCAAGCUCAAAUACAAUACAAGCAAAAGACCACAUGUCAGCAGAGAAUGAAUAUCCAGACUGAAGUAUAACUUCUGGAGCUCUAUACUGCCGUGUUUGAAUUUCUUGUGCAAACUGCUUAUCAGCCCAGCAUGCAUUUCCAAAAUCCACAACCUUGCACCUUAGGUCAAUUCCAUCAAGACUUCUAUUUGCUUUCGCACCUCCCCCCACCCCACCCAUUGAAGCUCGUCUAUUAGAUAUCCUGGCUGCUGCCCUCCUUGCCCUUUGUUUUAGCUUUUUCUCAAUAAUAUUCAUUGUUGUUCCUCCAUUUGGGAUCCCUUCAGGCCUUUCAAGUAUCGGCGCUGUUCCCGAUCUAAUUGGAUCCUUUGUGGCAUUAAUCGUGGAAAGUAAAAGAACAUUUUCAAGUUUUAGAUCUGUAUGAAUAAGUCCAAGUUCCCUGUGCAAAUAAUCUAGACCAGUUAGAAUGCACUUGCAUAUUUCCCUAACUUUGUUCAGUUCAAGGCCUUUAUAACGAUUAUAUUUGACGAGGUGCAAUAAGCUGUCACCAAGAAAUUCAAGGACCAUGCAUAAAUGCUGUCCAUUUGGACCUGUAUGCUUAAAAUGGUCAAUAAGUCUAACAACAUAUUUACUAUUAGAGGGAUCACCGUCGGCGAUAGCAGAAAGUAUUUCAAUUUCGUGAAGAGCAGCUUGAGCAAAUUGUGGCGCACUUUUCUGGAUCUUCAAGGCUACAAAUCCCUACCCAAAACAAAUUUAAGUAUAUUAGACUUCAUAGUCCACCAAGAAAACAAUUCAAAAAAUCUGUAAGACUUCAAAACCAUCCACAAUGAGAAUACACAAAAGGAAAUCUACGGCACAUUCUUGUUGGAGAUAGAUUUGAAACCAGAUGUUUUUGAAGCUUUUCAUCGCCUACUAGGUGGCUUACCAUUAGAUAGACAAUGAAUAAAAAUAUUCUCCAAAGAAGAGCAAUUCUAUGUGAUUAUUCUACAUAAAUAAAAAAAUAUCCUUGAACUUCCAUGACGAAGGAAGCUAAUGGAUUGAUAUUCUAGCUCAGAAAAAUAUCCUUGAACAUAUGUUGGCUGUUGACUCCAAACCAGGUCAAAUGCCCCCCAAAAUAAAUGCUUUUGACUUGGAAACAUUCAAACUUCUCAAAUUAAAUUGUAGCUCUAUAGAGCUCAGAAUAUUUCAUUAAAAUAAAUCAUGAAACAUUUGGAGAUAAAGUUCAUUCCAAGCAUUUUUUACCCUUUAUGAUGGGCCAUAGGUCCCCAAACAGUGUUUUAACUGCAUGCACAAAAUUAUCCUCAGCAUCAAGGACUUAAAACUGCUGCUUGCGUAAGAGAUCUCACAACUUGAAAAAGAGACCUCAUAUAUGUAUCACAUUCAUCACAAACAAAAGCAUAUAUAUACCAAGUCUGACACCAUAAAGAACUGGCGACAAUGGUAAUGAUUAAAAGCCUAAAACUGAAUGGAGAUUAUUUCACUGUGUAAGCAGUAACAGACAUAUACUUGCUCAACCUGGUUGGUAUAGACAAGAAGCGUGAAGAGAAAGAAAAGAAAAGGAACCCUACUUGAGGCCUAGUGUAAUAACACUUCAGCUUUGUUAGGAAAGUCGGGGAGGGUGUCAAGUAACUAUCACCAAACAUAUAGAGAUGCAAAAACAUGUAAUACCAUCCAAAUAAACAAGAAGAUAGGUAAGGCUGAACCUGAUCAAAGUGGAUAAGAAAAAUAAUUAGGAAUAGGCAUUCCGCAUUCGGAUAUCUUGAAAUGCAGCAUAAGGUAGCAGAGUAGCAUAUGUUUGUGUGUCUUUCGGGGGGAAAGGGGAAACAUUGCCCUUGGAGAUCCUGACAAAAAGUCCUGUGCAACAACUCAGUAGCCAGAAUGCUACAAAUUUGAUCUCCAAUGUCCGACUUCAAAUCCCUGGCUGCUGCCAACUGAUCAAUCGACCAAUCAACUACUUCGCAAUCCUAAACUGGUCGGAAUCCACUAUACAAACCCUGUGUAUCCAUUCCGCUUUUUCUCCUAAAUCAGUAUCCAUCAUAGUUGGACUAUUUUUACUUUAGCUAUUGAUCUACGGCGACCUUCCUCCUUUAAAAAGGUCUAAGAGAGUAAGAGUAGCUCUGAUUUGUGGAACUCAAAUAGGUAGAGCUUCCCUCAUUAGCUCUAUUUUGGGAAAACAAAAUAGAACAGAAACGAUCUGGAAAAUAUCAGACAUCCAAACUAGUUGUUUGCUUUUGUAAUUUGUAUCUCCCAAAAAAGAAACUAGGGAAAACCGAUAGCAAUAUAAAAACUAAAUACUCACUCCUCUCAUUCAACUUGCUCAAAUAGAAUCCUCUACGACAAAAAUUCUUAAUGAAUUCAACAUAUAUCCACCGAUGGUAUCAGGUCGCAUGUACCGUUGUAGCAGGUAACUUGACUUAUUUCAAGUUACAAGUACCACUUUUUGUGGAGGGUUACUUGUAAAUAUCUCUUAAGAAACCUGAUAGUGUAAAAAUUUGUUUAAGCUGUCCCGUAUAUAAAACUCAUUCUUAAUUAACAUGUGGCAGUUAUUAUCCACCAAUUGAAAGGUACGAUUACUGAAUCAAGGUGUGAUCCAAUUUGAUUAAUCAUAGAGAAAAGAAUAACUAUAAUCGGUUGCAUAUUCCAAAUUGCAGUUCACUGAUAAAUGCAUCUCUAGUAAUGACUUAGCCACAAACAAAGACGAUCUUCAUCACUUAAGAUUAAACCUUAGGUCACAAAACUUUUCACUAAUCGUGAAAUAACAAGAGCACUAACGAUCUCAAAUAAGCAUAUAUUUUGAUGAACUCACACAAAAUCUGUGUAAAACAAAAUCACGGAAAUGAAAUGAAAUGAAAAGAGGAAAGAGUACUAAUCAAUAAAUUUCUUUUUAAUCAAAAAAGGAAGAAUUUUUUGAAGGAAUAAAAAAGACUUACGGACGAUCGAGUAUCGUAAGCGAGCCAAACGGUGGAGAAUUCACCCCAGCCGAGUUUUCGCUGAGCGAUAUAUCGGCCGCCGGAGAAUGAAUCGCCGAUUCUCACCGCAUGAUAUCCUCCUUUUCUGUAUGAAUCCAUUCCUUCAUCUUCAUCUUCCGAUGCCGACGAUGACGACGGUGAACAUGACAUGGUCGGUGAAUGGAUCAAGCCUGAUUUACACACAGUGCGUGUGAUCUACAAAAUUACUAAAUAUGUUUAUCGUUUGAUUUGAUUGAUUCUUAAAUUUGAUGAUUUUCGAUUAGAGAAGAAGCAAAGUAGAAUUCUCGUGGAAAAAGCUUUAAGAAUGAAAGGGACAGUGCGUUAAUGAGGGGUAUAUGUGGCCUUCAUUACCAUAUUCUCUCCACUUUUUCCUCUUUUCCUCUUUUCCGCCUUCCCUAUAAUUUUCUCUUUAUAUGCUACUAAUUCGUUUCAUCUUUUAUUCAAAGUUGCGACUUUUUUUGUUAAUUGAAUUGGAACAUCCAAAGUUUAAUUAAUACUACAAGCUAACUAUAGUAGACUAACUAUCCAUUUUACUUGAUUUGAAAACAUUUUAUUGAAAUAUGUAAUUACUUACUCAAUUCACUUUUACAUGUCCAUUAUAUUAAAAGACUGUUUGAAAGUGUUGAAAAUUAUUUGUAAGUGUUGAAACUGAUAUUUUAAAUAAGCAUUUAUGUGUUUGGAUAGAAGUGCUACAACUAAUAAUAAGCAGUUGAUAUAUUAAGUAAAACAAUGUUGAUAAACUAUUCUUAUGUUAAAAUGACUAAAAUACCAUUAAAAACUCUACAAAAGAUUAUAAACUAAAAAGUUCUUUUUGUAAAGAAAAUGAUGAACAACCAACAUGGAAUGAAGAAAAGGUUAGGAAAAAGUAUUGUGAAUUAAAAUUAUUAUUAAAGAUAAAUUAGUAAAAAUCUUGCUCAGACUAAAAGUCUUAUAAGCUCAAAAAUCAUAAGUUGGGGGUGACCAACUUAUGAUUUAUGACUGAUUUUAACUUAUAAGCACGGUACAUACGUCAAAAGGUGCUUAUAAGCUUAGCCAAAUAGCCUCUAAAAAUAUAUUUCACUUUUACUUGUCUAUUUUAGCAAAUCAAAAUAAACACAACCUUUUGUUUUCAUGUUUUUCCCUUAUAAUUAACUACUCAUUCCCCGAAUUAUUUUUCAAGAUUUUUUCAAAUACUAUUAUUAUUAUGGGUAAAAUUAUAAAUUACAUGCUUCAUUAUUUUUUUAAAGGAAGUGCAAAGUCAAAAGUAAAUGAUAAAAAUAAUCAGAAGGAGUAUUAAGGUUCUUUUAACACUAAAAAAUUAAUUUAUUUUCUAUCGAUAUAUAAAUUUUUACUAGUAUUUCUUAUUGCAUAUGUGAAUUUUUUUCUAUUAUUUCACUAAAUUUACAUGGAUUUCAAGAGAUGAUAGGUUUUUGUAUACAACUUCUUUUCAUGUCAUUUUAUGUAUACCUCGUUUCGCUUUUAACAUAUUCAGUUAUUCAUGGUUCUAUACAUAGAAAUUGAUGCUUUCCAACAAAAACAGUAUAAUACCUAACCAAGUUAUCUCAAACGAUUAUUAUUGGUUAAAAAGUACCAUGAGUUUUUGCUAUCUCAAAUAAUAGAAGUUGCAAUGUUGGGAACGUCUAGGAAGUAAAAGUUUCCUUUUUGUAGAUAAUGCAUUUUCACUCUUUUUCUACUUUUAUGAUUUGCCAUAUUAGAGGAGUUUUUGGAGGGUGGGGGAGGGUUGAAAAGCAGUGGCGUGCGUUAGGUAUUUGCGUUAGAAUUAGUUGAGUUAGAGUAAUCAUUUGUUGGGGGGAAGUCGUAAGAUUUGAGAACUCAGCCAACUGCCAAAUUGGGCAUUAAUCUAAUAUGAGAAAAAUGAUGUUCAUCAUCCCAUUAAUCCCAUGCGAGACUUGGUAGAUUUGAUAAUUUCCUCCACGCAACUAAAAGUUAGUUGUUUAUCUCUUAGUAUAUAUUUGUGGCCUUACUUUUUGUUUAAAUCAUUUAAAGUUGUGUUGGACAAUAUUAUAAUGUCUCCCGUUGAUUUGGAGGGUGAUCAUUCAUAUAGAUGACCUGAGACCGAUCCCCCCUCAAUGCCUUCUGGGUUGAGCUUGUCGCACCCUUACCCAAUGCGCACAGAGUGCUCAUCCGAAGGGCAGGGGUUGUAGCGGCGGCGAAUUUUUCUGGAAGUUUCCAAAAAAAAAAAAAAAAUUAUAAUGUCAUGUCAAUAUCCUAUCAUAUACAGAAAAGCUAUAUUGUAUAACCUUCUUUUAUACGGAAGAAAAUUUGAUUUUUUAAAAGUUCAACUUCUUAAAUUACUUUUAUUUUAAUGAAGUGUCAAUUCUAAUAAUGAUGCAAUAAGAAAGUAGGAAUUGAAAAUUUGGGAUGAGAGAAUAUUUUUAUUGUCUUUCACUUUCUGUAUAUUAAUUUAUAAUGUUUGGAUAAUGUUUAUAAUAGUUGGGAAUUUUUCUUUUGUCCUUUUUCUAUCUUGUUAUGCCAAUAUAUAAAAGAAUUGGUCGUUAAUUUUAGUAAUAAAGAGAGAAAGCACCUUGUAUUAAAAAAACACGUAGUAGUAUUAAAAUUUGUGUAAACAACAAAAGUUAAAGUGAAAAAUGGAACUUAGUGCGAUGUAUGACUAGUUUUUUUAUGUAUGAUGUAUGCAUGUAAAAUUUGAAUCUCCAAAUUUUCUUACCACAAAAUGAUAGACUACUCAAUCUUAUUAUGGUCGAAAUUACCGUUUGACCCAAAAAAAUUGAUUUUGUCUCUCCCAAUUAGAUUUAUUUAAAGAAAGGUUAAUCUUAGUUAAAAAUAAUAUCCAAAGAUGGAGCUACGUGUGUCAAAACCAAUAAAUAAUGUAUCAUAUCCGGAUGUAAUAAAUAUGAGCCGAAAUAGUGAUAUUCAAUGAUCUAAAAAGAUGAAUAUGACAUUAAAUAGUAAUAAAUGACAUUCAGGUAAAUAAAUCGUAUGAGUCACUCAUAAAGGGAUGAGAUCAGUGAAUAUUCUUCAUGACAAUGAUGAAUGAUUGAGAAACCUUUUGAACCUUCGUGAUGCUCUUGGAUCAGGUAGAAAUAUCGGACAAGAAUCUUGGUAAAAAGGUUAUUUUUGUAUAUAUGCGAUAAGACUAGAUUCUCUCUUACAAAGUCAAUGUAUUCUUUACAAAUCUCCACCCUCCCCCCUCCCCCCCCCCCCCCCCAUAAUUGUGUCUUUUUCUAUUUAUAGGGAACAUGUUCGUAAAAACCCUAAUAGUACAAGUGCAGAGAAUAUAUACUAGAAUAUUCUCUUUAAUGUCCUAUCUUGAAACUAGCUGUUAUAACUCUGUCAAGGAUAUUCGACCUCAGCCUCGAUCCUUGAUGACUCCUCGAUCUCAGUCCUUGCUGACUCUUUGACCACGACCUUUAUUGUUCCUUAAACCAAUUCGACAUGUGGCGGCCUCAAAAUGUUUCGCUAAUGCUAUCCGGACUUAAGUGUUCUAGAGAUAGAUUUUGACAUAUACAGUUCGUCUCUCCGACUUUGCGGGCGGGUUCGAUGAGCGGAUCAUGUUAUUGGUGGUCGAGCUAAUCAAGCGGACUACACGGGUUGUGGUUGUUACAGUGAGCAGGCGAUGUAUCUCUCUGUGGGCCGCACAUUUCAAAUGCUUCGAAUUUUCCGGGUGAUUUGCUGGAGUUAUAUUGUCCACGGGUUAGGAUGACGUCAUGCGUCAUAAUGGUGCAUAUUCCCGAUGUGUCGCUUCAUUUCGCGUGUGACCUUUGAUUAGACCUGUCGCUUCGGUUUCGGUGCCAAUCAUGAUGAACUAUUUUGGGUUGGUGCCAUGACUUUUAUAAACAGAGAUCCUUGAACUUGAUUUUGGAGUUUAAACCCUCUAAGGUUUCGAAACACCACACCUUUCUCUUGCUCUCUUCUUCUCCGAAUUUCUUUUCUCUGUUUCAUUGACCUAUAAGGUUCUACUAUGUUGAAUCAUGUCUAACGUAUCUUCUGAUGCUGGUGAGGGGAGUCAUGUUGCUCCCUUGGCAGUGGUGUUCCCCUCCCAUGGGGAGAGCGUUUAUGCUAUUUUUGAGGAUGAAACCUUCCCGUCGGGGGAGGAAAUAAUCCCGCAUAAUCCUGAAUCCAGGUCAGACCUUACCAAAGUACCAGACGUCGCACUUAGAGUCUUUAAAUCAACAAUGACGCCUAAGGAAUUGGUGGAACUUAAGGCCAAAUUCAGCUUUCUAAACCAUGUUGAGGUGAUCCCGGCUGAGGGGGACGUAGUACAGGUCCAUCACUCUAGGUACUGCGCUCUUUAUUCCUACUACUUCCUCAUCGGCUAUUCUUUUCCCCUACUCCUACUAGUGGAGGAAUUUUGUCGUCAUUACAGUGUCUGCCCGACUCAGCUUGCACUGUACGUCUACAAAGUGAUUAAGAUGUUGACCUAAUUCUCCGAGCUGGCUGGGAUCGAGCUAGCGCUACGGCACUUGAUACAUCUAUUCGCCCCUGGCUUUUAUAGGGGGGCGAUGAUGUACCUUUGCCACCAAGGAGGCAAAUAUUUGGUGGUGAAGAUGGACUACAAAUCUAAUCGUCAGUUCUGGCUUAACUUCUUCUUCGUCAGGACCGAGGACGUCAUGGCCUUUCCUAAAACUUCGAACUAUACUCGUGAGUGCCCUGUUUCUUUCUACGUUUGUUUGGUCCUAAAUUUUGAUUUUUUUACUUUUCUCUUUUGCAGCCAACGGCCAGCCUCCCCCUUUGUCUGCUCACAUCUCUGACUAGGUCGAGCGACUCCUCCCUCACAUCGUAAGGAUCCGUGAUUGGACAAGUUUUUUCAAGAAAUUCAAGCCUGCUCUCCCUUCGACUGGUAAUUUCUUUUCUUUGAUCGUGGUUGUUCCAUUUCCUAUUGUGUAUGGAUUUGUUUUGCUAAAUUCAUGUUGUCUUUUUCUCAGGCAGGGGAUCUUCUCGGAGGUGUCGGGUACCAGUGCCAUUUUUUCGAAGGACGGUUGCUGCAUCUUCGGCUUCCAUUCCUGUUGCGCCUACUACGUCUUCUGUACCGGUCUUAACCUCAACUUUCGUAGUUCGACAGCCCGUCUCCGUUCCAUCUACAACUUCUGCUCCCCAACUCUUUUCACUAGUUGAUGAGGACGACGUCUCUCCUGAUAGUAGUGGUCUAAUGCCUCAUAAGAGGAGAGUCGUAGAUACGGGGGGGAGAGAGGCCGUCAGCAUUGAUGUGGGAGAUUGUGACUUUGUUCUUCGAGAAAUGGUCACAGUGCAUAUUGGAGAGAGCCCUGAGGCAAGUCCUGAGGCCCCUCACUUGGAGGAAAUAAGCACGCGUUCUGUGAGGGACACAGCCGAUGGCGAGGUGUAUAAUGACGGCCCUACACUUCCGAGGCGCAAGGAGGCCUCAUCUUCCAGUCGUGGUGGACGUCCCUUCUUCGAUAGAUGAUAGAAGGAAGGUAGUCACUGAGGAGGACGUUGGAUCUAACUCCGACAUGGAUAUGGACGAGUUGAGGAUGAUCGAUAACAGACUCACUCAACUCGAAGUGAGGUUGGAAGGGGGUUCAAGGACUAUUGCGAUCCCGAUGGAUCGUAAUCUACUUGUAAACACCAAUGAAAUAGUCCCUACCAUUGGUCCUCUUUGAUCUGAAAUUGAGGGUACGACCUUCGAGAUGAUAGAUGAUAGCAAUUUGUCUAAUAACAUUGCUGGCCUUGCUCUCCGAGUAAGUAUAACUGUCGACCGUUCUUUUCAUUUUGUUUUGCUUUCUUUCGUAAGCUCUAAUUUCAUUUUGUAGAUAGUUAUUUUGGAGAUCGAGAGUGCUCGUCGGGAGCAGAAACGUAAAGAUAUUUACGUGAAGUUGAAAGACAUGUAUUUUAAAUGUCUUGAAAAGUAUCGGGAGUACCAGUGUCGGCUCCGCGAGGGUGGCAAUGUACGCCAGCUGAGGGAGGAUUUGAAGGAGAGGGACGAGGAUUUAAUGCGGGUUGUGGAGAAAUGCAGCAUCUUAGAAGAGAUUUUGAGGGCAAAGGGGCGGAUCUCGAGCUUAGCAGGGGCGUAGAAGCCCAAUGUAGUGAUCUCCAAGCCCAAGUGGUCCUGCUGCAAGGCCAACUCAAAGAGUGUCAGUUCAGGGCGAAGGAUCUUAGUGACGAGUUGCCGAGAAGCAAGAGGAGCUAGAGAAGGCGGAGUCUGCUCGGUCGGAAGCUCUGGGGAGGGCGGAGUCCCUUGAAGUGGCGAUCCGAACUCUUUGUUCUGAGCGAGAAAAUGACUUGUCGACGGCAAGGCUUAAAGAAUAGUGUCUUGAUGAAAGGAUUGGGAAGUUGGAGAAAGAAACCUCUGACCUUUAUAAUCGGGUUGCUGCUCUGGAGGCUGAGAAGGCCAAACUACUUGAUCAACCUUCUUUAUUUGCGGGUUCUGGCUUCCCCAACGUUCCUUACGAGUUGUAUGAAGAGUGGAUUCAUGCUGAGGUCUGAUUGGAUGUGCUUCGUGAGUUACAUGUAGCGGGCUCCGUUCCUGCCACAUACUUUGAGGAUGCUCGUGUCAAGCCUCGCGAUGCUCGGAUUGCUGGUGGCUAUAAUUCGACUACUCCUCGUCAUGGUGAGGAUGCCAUAGAUCACCUCGAGGACGAGGCCUGGUAUGAUUCCAUAUACCCUUCGGGCGAGGAUGGAGAGGGCGUUGAGGGUCAGACCGAUGAAGGUGUCACGGGUCGUGAUGGUAGUGAUCAACAGUAGUUCUUUUUUGCUUUUUCUGAAGUUUUUGUGUAUUUUUGCUGGCAUCUUUAAGAGACUUUGUAAGAAACCUUCGUUUAUAAUAUCAAAGUUGGCUUUUGCUUUUAUUUGCACCUUUCUUAUUUGUUGUGGUUUAUUUCUAUACUUUGCAUGUUUUUCUCCUUCAUGCUUUUGUCAUUGUCCUUGUAUAUUUCAAAUUUUAUCGGAACGAGGCCGAGGAUUAAUAGGCAUUAUUCGAACUUGGUCAAAUCUUAACCUCUCUAAAUCGCGGACGAGGGCCGGUAGGUGUUUUUCAUACUUAGUCGAACUUAUCUUUUAUUAAUCUCGACCGAGGGCUGGUGGGUGUUGUUCGAACUUGGUCGAACUUAUCCUUUUAUUAAUCUCGGUCGAGGAACGGUAGGUGUUGUUUGAGCAGGGUCAAACGUGACCUUGUCUUAGUCAUGGUCGAGGUCCAAUAGGUGUUGUUCGAGCGGGGUCGAAUAUAACCUUUUCAUAGUCAUGGCCAAGGGCCAAUAGAUAUUAUUCGAGCGGGGUCGAACAUCACCUUUUCAUAGUCGUGGCCGAGGGCCGAUAUGUGUUGUUUGAGCGGGGUCGAACAUGACCUUUUCAUAGUCGUGGUCGAUGGCCGAUAGCUGUUGUUCAAACGGGGUUGAACAUAACCUUUUCAUAGUCAUGGCCGAGGGAAAAUAGGUGUUGUUCGAGCGGGGUCGAACAUAACCUUUUCAUAGUUGUGGCCGAGGGCCGAUAUGUCUUUAUGAUGAAUGUACGUUUCUUAUUACUUUGAUGUUGCUGCUCUGAUUACAUGAUUGGAGAGAGUUACAGAUUUUUUGGGCAUUGGCUGGCAUUCCAGUCCCUAGUCCUAGUCUAUCUAGUCCCUUCAUUGCUUGACUUGGAGAAUUUUGAGGAGUUGGGAAAUGAAAGAGAAAAAAUAGCCCCUCCCUCGCAUACUUUGACUCGAAGCGUUCCUUUUACCGCCUCGUUAAAAACCUCCUUGAGAAAACCCUAAUGGGACAAAACUCAAGUGAGGGAAAAAGAGUGCGGGUAGGGGGCACAUUUUCUCUUAGAAGUUGAAGUAUUUGAGGUGACUCAUGUUCCAAUUGUUUGGUAAUUAUUUUCCUUCCAUUAUCUCUAAUUGGAAUGAACCCUUGUUUGCUUUGGCUGUGAUUUUAUACGGACCGUCCCAGUUUGUUCCUAGCUUGCCUUCUCGUGGGUUUUUGCUCGCUUGAGUUUUGGCCUUGAGUACAUAGUCCCCAACUUUAAGCGGCCGGACCUUUGCUUUCUUGUUAUAAUAACGUUUUGCUUGCUGUUUUUGGGUGACCAUCCUUAUGUACGCCAAAUUUCUUCGUUCAUCAAUUUCAUCGAGUUCCUGCUUUCUACUCUCAUCAUUACCAGUACCGCUUUUGUGGGAGUAUCUUAGAUUGCACUCCCCGACUUCGACUGGUAUAACUGCUUCAGUCCCACAGACCAAAGAGUAGGGUGUCUCUCAUGUGCUCGUCUUUGGGGUAGUUCUAUACGCCCAUAAUACUUCUGGCAGUAUCUCCGGCCACAGUCCUUUGGCGUCUUCGAGCUUUAUCUUCAUGAUGUAAAAUAUGGACUUUUUGGAGGACUCUACUUGUCCAUUACCCGCUAGGUGAUACAGGGUCGAUAGUAUCCUCAUGAUAUGCCAUUUCUUGAAAAAUUCAACGGUUUUCUUUCUCGUGAACUAGGAUCCGUUGUCGUAGUUGAUUUCUUUAGGUAGGCCGAAUCGGCAGAUGAUAUUCCUCCAUAUAAAGGUGAUUACCUCGUGUUUCUGUAUUUGGGUGAAUGCUCCUGCUUCCACCCAUUUAAAGAAAUAGUUAGUUUAAACCAAAAGGAACCGUAUAUUACCUCGCCCUGUUGGGAGGGGGGCCAUGAUGUCCAUUCCCCAUUUGAUGAACGGCCACGAGGAGGUGACUGAGUGGAGGUGUUCGCCUGGUUGGUGAUUCAUUGGGGCAUACUUUUGGCAUUGUUCGCAUUUCCUCACAAAGUCUAAGGCGUCCUUUUUCAUGGUGGGCCAAUAGUAUCCUGCCCGUAUGAGGCAUCUAACGAGUGCUCGAUUGCCGGAGUGAGCACCGCAAUUGCUUUCAUGGACUUCUUCGAGGACGCGUUGGGUAUGGUUAGGGCCAAAGCAUUUUGUUAGAGGGCAUCCGUAAGUCCUCUUGUACAUGUCGCUAUGGAGGAGACUGUAUCUGGCUGCUUGCAUUAUUAGUUUUUUGGCUUCUUUUUUGUCGUUUGGGAGUGUGUCGUCCUGCAAAUAGGCAAUAAUACGAUUGUGCCAAUCCCAAGUUAAGCUUAUGGUUCUUACCUUGAUUUGGUCUAGUGAUGAGUUGAGGAGGUGGACUACACUUUUAUCUUCGGCCGUGAUGCUUUUGGUAGAUGCGGCCAACUUGGUGAGGCCGUCUACUUUGGCAUUCUGCGCACGCGGGAUCUGGUCGAGCUGUCAUUCGUCGAACUCGGGCAACAGCAUACAGAUCUCGGUCUGUUAUUUUUGCAAUAUUUGUUCUUUGAUUUGGAAAGUCCCUGUAACUUGGUUAACCACGAGUUGGAAAUUGCAGUGGAGUUUCAACCGCUUCGCCUCGUACUUGAGUGCUAGUCUCAAUCCUGCAAUUACGGCCUCAUACUCGGCCUUGUUAUUAGUCAUCCGGGCACCUUAUGGACUGUGAAUUACUUCGCCUGUAGGAACCUUGAGUACGAGUCCUAGUCUGGACCCCGAAGCGUUGGAUACGCCAUCAGUAUUAUCACGACCCCAAGUUCCCUCCGUAUGAUGUCGUGACGGCACCUAGACUCUAAGACUAGGUAAGCCUAACAACAUGUGAAAUAAUUGAAGUAUAACUUAAAAUCUCAAAUUUCAUCAAUUACAUAAAUAAAAUCUAUAACUCAAUAUGUACAACUCUCAAAACAUGGUGAAAUAUAAGUCACAAGCUCUAAUUUACAAAGUUGAACAAUCCUAUACAUCACUGUCUAUAAUAGUGUAAUAAAAUAAGGAAGAACAAGAUAGAAGGGGACUCCGAGGCCUACGGACGCGGGUAGGUGUACCUUGAAGUCUCCAAAGCAACCUCAGCUCACUAAUGCUGGGACUGAUAGGAAGUACUUGGAUCUGCAUAAAAAGAUGUGCAGAAGCGUAGUAUGAGUACACCACAACAGUACCCAGUAAGUGCCGAGCCUAACCUCGGUAGAGUAGUGACGAGGUCAGGUCAAGGCCCUACCGGAUAUAAUAAGAAACAAGACGAAAGAUAUAACGAUAUAAUGAAAAUGACAAUGAAAAUGAAAUAAUAAGGAAUUUACCAAAAAUUAACAACACAGAAUCAAGGCAGUUAAUACAAUACGAAAGGAAACAAGGAUUAACAUGUUAAGGAAACAAACAAUCAAGACGAAUACAACAAAUAGAGAAAGAUAAAAAAGGGCCACUACCGAGGUACCGCCUCGUAGUCCCAAAUAACAAAAGUAACUCACAGUAUUUCCUUAUAUCACUGCGGGAGCCUUUACAUUUAGUUUUGAAAAUUAUUUUUUCCGAAAUAGCACCCCGCGUUUUAUCCCAUCUUAUCACACAACAUGACUUCUAGUAGUUCCCCUACUAUCCACGUAUAUCAAGCCUACCUUAUCUCACCGCAUAUGUUUUAACACUCAGACCUUAUACUACCACAUGCGUAUCAAUAUCACAAUUCGCACCUGAAGUGCCCAAUAUAACAACUUGCCAAAAAAUCCAACGAUGACAGAAUUUCACAAUAAGGAGCCCACGGCUCAACCACAAUGUACACAAAGUCUCAACAAUAACAACCGGAGAGUAACUCAAUAAAAUGAUAUUUCACAACUUACACUUUGCCUCAAUAGAAAUCACGGCCUUUGCAACUCAAUACCAAAGUCAACAACAAGAUAUUCCAAGAAUAGCAAUUUUAAGUAAAGAAUUCAACAGUUAAAUUACGAACACGAAAUAAAAGAAAGCAAGUAAUUCAACUAAACAUGUAGGACAAGUUACAAAUAAGAGACAAGACAAGUAUACAUGUGAAAUUAGACUAAAUAUGAUGAUUAUAACAGGUUAAAGUAACUCAAUUAAAGCAUGAAAGGAACUACAUAGCUAAAAACCAAAAUUUUAAUAUUUAGCCCGUGUACACACUCGUCAACUUGUGUACACGGCCUUCACAUAUCAUAAUUAUCACAACAAUACCAAAUCCUAAGGGGAAUUUUCCCUCACACAUGGUUAGACAAGUCACUUACCUCAAAUCACACUAAAUCAAUCAACUAGAAGGCCUUUCCCUCAAUUUUCCAACUCUGAAUGGCUAGAAUAUAGCCAAAACAAUUUUAUACCAUAAAUAUAACUAUAAGAAACUAAUUCAAACAAUGAAAUUACGAUCUUUGCAAAGAAUUAAAAAAUCACCCCAAAAAGUCAACCCGGGCCCGCGUCUUGAAACCCGACCAAAAUUAUGAAACACCAAACACACAUUAGAUAUUGAGUCCAACCAUACAAGAAUUAUUCAAAUCCGACCUCAUUUCGUCUUUCAAAACUAAAAAUAUUAGCCUAAGGAAUUUCUACCAAUUUUUUCCAAUUUUCAACUCCAAAGCACCAAUUAAAUGAUGAAAUUAUCAAUAGAUUCAUGUGAAUUAACAAAAAUGAGUUAGAAUUAUUUACCCCAAAGUUCUUUCUGAAAAUACCUCGAACUUUCACGCCAAAUCGAGCUCUCUAAGUCCCAAAAUGAAUUAUGAAUCAAACCCUCGAAUUUUCCUCCUUUUCUGCCCAGUUAAAUCACACAUGCGAUCUUACUGCCGCAUCUGCGGCUCCGCACCUGCGGAAUUUCCAUCGCAGGUGUGGAUUUCACUUAACUCAGAAACUCUGCUUAUGCGGACAAGACAUCGCACCUACGAGUGCGCUCAUGCGGAGUAUUCUCCGCUUCUGCGAAGAAGACCAAGAAGCUUCUUUUGCAUCUGCGACCACCUCUCCGCACCUGCGGACGCGCAGAUGCGGUCCACUCCUCCCACUUGCGAUCCCAACUGGGCUAAUCCAUUUUAUCACCUGCGAUCACCAGCUCGCUUUUGCGAGCUCGCACCUGCGGUCAAUCCCUCCGCAGGUGCGAUGACACCAGAACAGCCCAGCUUCAGUAAUCUUAAAAAUUCAAACUUGUUCCGGAUUAGAUAUGAAUCACACCAGGGGGCCCUAAGACCCCGUCCGAAUAUACAAACUAGUUCCAAAACACAUAAAGGACCUACUCGAGGCCAAAAAUCACAUCAAACAACUUAAAUUCUAUGAAUCGCAACCCAAAUUCAAGCCUAAGCAACUAUGAACUUCCAAAUUCUGAAAGCAACGUCGAUUCAUACCAAAACAACUCCGAUUCACAUCAAACUUUGCACACAAGUCAUAAAUGACAUUAAGGACCUAUUCUAACUUCCAAAAUCGUGAUCCGGCCUCAAUAUCAAUAAAGUUCACUCUCGGUCAAACUUUUCAAAAUCUUCUAACUUUUGCCAAUUCACGCCGAAAUGACUUACAGACCUCCAAAUCAACAUCCGAAAAUGCUCCUAAGACCAAAAUCACCCUACAGAGCUAUUGGAACCAUAAAAACUCCAAUCCAGAGUCAUCUUCUCACAAGUUAAACUACUGUCAACUUCUACGACUUAAACCUCCAAUUUAGAGACUAUGUGUCCCAUUUCACUUCGAAACUCACCCGAAACCAAAACCAACCACCUCGGCAAGUUACAUAACCAAACCAUAUCAUAUAGGGAGAAAACUAUAGGGUAUUGAGGCUAAAAUACUCAAAAUAACUGGCUGGGUCGUUACAGGUAUAUAAGACCCAGAGGUCUUGCGUUUGGAGGGAAGUGUGGACGGCUUCCUUCUUGACUUCAAGAAUUAUCUUUGCACUAAAGUCUACGAUGAAUUCAGCAAUAACUUUCUACUUUAUCGAUGUUUGCAGUUGGUAUGUAAUAUCAUGCUCGCUUAGCUCGAUAGCCCACUUGGCCAGCCUCCCCGAUAGCUCGGGUUUAUGCAAAAUGCUUCUCAGGGGAAAUGUUGUAGUGAUCGAGAUAAGGUGGCACUGAAAAUUGGGUCUAAGCUUUUGUGAAGCUAUGACCAAUGCCAUAGCUAGUUUUUUGAGGUGUGGGUACCUCGUCUCGGCGUCGACGAGUGUUUUACUAAUGUAAUAGAUGGGAGAUUGCGUACCUUUGCUUUUGCAGAAUAGUACUGCACUUACUACUACUUCAAAGAUGGCUAGAUAGACGAUGAGGUAUUCCCGAGGUUCGGGCUUUGAAAGCAGAGGUGGUGAUGAUAGAUAUGCCUUCAGUUCUCGCAGAGCUUGGAUAUACCCGAGAGUCCAUUUGAGAUAGUUGUCCUUUAUGAGAACGCCAAAAAAUUUGUCAUAUCUAUCAGACGACCGCGAGAUAAAUGUCGAUAAGGUGAUGAUUCGACCAGUCAACCUUUGGACUUGUUUCUUGGUAGUCAAGAGUUCUCGUAUCCCCUCGAUAGCUUUGAUUUAGUCUGGGUUGACCUCGAUCCCCCGUUGUGACACCAAACGUGCAUUUUUAUAGAUUUAGUUUCAUUCUUUACCGUCUUAGUAUAUCAAAAGCUUCCUUUAAAUGAUCGAUAUAAUCCUCUACCUUUACGGACUUGACCAGCAUAUCGUCUAUAUAUACUUCUAUGGUCUUGCCGAGCUGGUCUUUGAACAUCUUCGUGACCAAUCUUUGAUAUGUGGCUUCUGCGUUCUUCAGCCCAAAUGGCAUGACCCUAUAGCAGUAUGUUCCCUUGUGGGUGAUGAACGUGGUUUUCUCCUGGUCCUCUUCUUACAUAAGUAUAUGGUUAUAACCUGAGGACGCAUCCAAGAAACUCAGCAGCUCAUGUCCGACCAUUGCGUCGAUGAGUUGGUCGAUGUGUGGCAACGAGAACGAGUCCUUUGGGUACGCUUUAUUUAAGUCCGUGAAAUCCAUGCACAUCUGCCAUUUCCUAUUUUUCAUUUUGGCCAUCACUUUGUUGGCGAUCCAUUUGGGGUACUUUGAUUCCCUGAUGGAACCAUUUUUUAAUAUUUUCUCCACCUUCUCGUGGACGGCAUCGUUGAUAGCGGGAUUGAAUUUACGUCUGGCAUGCCUUAUUGAGGGGUAGAACGGGUCGACAUUUAAUUUGUGUGUGGCGAUCUCCUUGGGGAUGACCGACAUAUUUGCAUGGCUGAAGGCAAACAAAUCUGCAUUAGUUGUUAAGAAUUGACAGAAUUUACCUGGAUCUCAAAGUUUGCAACUGAUGUAGGACUUUUUGCUAUAGUCAUUGGGGUUUAAUUUAACGAGGUCAGGGUCAUCUAUGGUCGAGUCCGUAACCUCGACCAUUUUGGGAUCCAUGAUAACGUCCUUAGUCUCAUCUUGUGUCGACCUCGGGCAUGUUGAUUGUUAUGCCUCUUUUUCUCUCUGUUUUUUUCUGUUGGGUUGUCGUGGUAUCUAAGGCAAUGCGGUAGUACUCCCGGGAUAUACGUUGUUCUUCGCGUAUGCUGAAUAUUCCCGAAGGUGUUGGGAAUUCAAUUACUUGGUAUAGGCUGGAGGGGAUAGCUCUCAUGGGAUGUAUCAACGGUCGUCCCACUAUGGCAUUGUACGCGGUGGCCUGAUCCAUGAUGUGGAAUAUCGUGUCCAGCGUCACGCCACCGGCCAAGACGGGGAGUGUAAUUUCUAACAUGUUGUACUAUUCCUAGAAAUCGUAAUAGUACAAAUGCAGAGAAUAUCUACUAGAAUAUUCUCUUUAAUGUCUUAUCUUGAAACUAGCCGUUAUAACUCUGUCAAGGGUAUUCGACAUCGGCCUCUAUCCUUGCUGACUUCUCGACCUCAGUCCUUGUUGACUUUUCGACCACGACCUUCAUUGUUCCUUAAACCACUUCGACACGUGUCGGCCUGGGAAUGUUUCGCUAAUACUAUCAUGACUUAAGUAUUCUAGAUAUAGAUUUUGACCCAUACAAUUACUAAAAUAGUUAACCAAUUGAAAUAGUUCACAUUAACAUUUCCAAUUAGUCACUGCCUAUGCGUGUGGCAAAUAUGAAAACUUGAGCAAUUUAGAUUUCUAGUUAUAUCACAAGAAAAAUUUAGACGUCUUUUUUCUUCUUGUGUAUUAUCUUCUCUUUUGAAAAGGAGUGACCUAUUGAACACUUAUUCUAAGCUAACUUGUGCCUAUUGAACACAAAUUUAACAAUCAUACACCAAAUUGAGUGCGGGGCAGAAAUAUACAGCCUAGUUAGUAGGAGAGAUGCAUCAAAAAGGAUCCUGAUUGGUCAUGUUAACUGCAGAAAUGCCAACCAGAACAUCAAUCCUUCUAUGUUGAACUCAUGAUAAGAAAGCUAUGACAAAUAUUACAACAUUCUGCUUAAGGUUCUAUCCAACAAUGUUGUUUUUUUAUUUAAAAAAUUCCUCUUUGACAAAUAGGUAGACAGAGAAAAAUAAAUUAAAAGGGAGCUCAACAUUCUUAAGAUAAACUCAAACUUUUAUUGUACCUAGCUCAUUUGCACAUUAAGUUUAAUUUAAAAUGUUAAAACUCUGCUCCAAACUUCAAGAUAAGUUUUAGACUUUUUCCCUGGCCUUUUAAACGACAAGUUUAGCUUUUGAUAUGGCACUUAAAAUUUUAGGCUGAAUACAUAGACAGCUCCUCAGAGUUGUUCAAACUUUUUAUUUCGACACUUGAAGCAGUGACCUAUUGAACACUUAUUCUAAGCUAACUUGUGCCUAUUGAUCACAACUUUAAUAAUCAUACACCAAAUUGAGUGCGUGACAGAAAUAUACAGCCUAGUUGGAGGGAGAAAUGCAUCAAAAGGCUCCUGAUUGGUCAUGUUAACCGCAGAAACACCAACCAGAACAUCAAUCCUUCUAUGUUAAACUCAUGAUAAGAAAGCUAUGACAAAUAUUACAACAUCCUGCUUAAGGUUUUAUACAACAAUGCUAUUUUUUUAAAUUUAAAAAACUCAACAACAACAACAACUCAGUAUAAUCCUACUAGUAGGAUAUGGGAAGGAUAGUUUGUACGCAGACCUUACCCUUACCCUAGGGUAGAAAAACUGUUUCCGAUAGACCAUCGGCUCCCUCCCUCUAAGAACUCCUCGCCUUACUCUUGAAAUGACUCGAACUCAUAACUUCUUGGUUGAAAGUGGAAAAUGUUCACUAAUAGAAUAACUCACUCUUGUCAAAUAAGUAAAUAAAGGAAAAUAAAUUAAAAAAGAAUCUCAACAUUCUUAAGAUAAACUCAAACUUUUAUUAUACCCAGCUCAUUUGCACAUUAAGUUUAAUUUAAAAUGUUAGAACUCUGCUCCAAACUUCAAGAUAAGUUUUAGACAUUUUCCUUGGCCUUUUAAACGCAAGUUUAGCUUUUGAUAUGACACUAAAAAAAAUUAAUUUUAAAUUGAAUACAUAGACAUUCCCUCAAAGUUGUACAAACUUUUCGUUUAGACACUUGAACGAAAGCAGUGACCUAUUGAACACUUAUUCUCAGCUAACUUGUGCCUACUGAACACAAACUUAACAAUCCUACGCCAAAUUGAGUGCGUGAAUAACACUUGCUCUUGACAUGGUAAAUAAAACAAACAAAAAAAGACAUGUCAGCAAACAAAAGUCAAAGUUCUGAAAAAUGAGAGAGAGAGAGAGAGUGGUCGGGAAAAAAAAAGUGGGCAGGAGGAGUUGGCCGAAAAAAAAGAUUCCCAAAUUUUCACCUCUCCAGCAAUAAUUUUUUUACAGUAACUAUGUCAAGUUUGAAUCUAAAGAAGAAGAAACUCCAUUAUCCUGGAAAGAAAAAAAGAGAAAGAGGAAGAAAAAUCUGAUCUGGAUCUUUCAAAAAGAUUCCCGGCGAUCUCCAUUUUUGCUGGCAGCAGUGUUUUUCCCCAGCGGCGAUGCUUCUUCAAAUCCACAAAUGGGCUUUAAUUAAACUUCAACCGCAACAAGAUGAGAACAAUAGUAUUAGAUCUUUUUUACUCUUUUCUUUGAUUGUUUAUUCCCAAGAUUUGGCAGAAACAUUUUUUACCAUAUUAGUCAAGGCUUUAAGAUAAAUUCCUUAGUCAUAACUCUCAAUUCUUUCCUGUGUUAUUACUCUGUAUUGCUAUAAUAAAUAAUUAAAUUUUUAAAAAAAAUAAAAUAGAGUAAUACUUGUUUAACGAAAUAGAUUCUGGAAACAAAAAACAGUAUAGGAAUAAAUCGAGCUCACUGAAUACACAGUGUAUCCUUAAGGAAAUUAUUCCCCUCAAGUACCCGAGGUGUUGAAAUAUAUCCUCCCAGGAUAUAACGAUUUAACUCACUAGUAUAUUAGUACCAAAAAUUCUGAUUAACUGCAAACCACUCAAUGGUCGUAAAACACACUAAAAUAUAUUGUGUAGAAGAAGAAGAAGCUUAUAAAAUUUCGUAAGGAAAGAUUCUGGGAUUCAAACUCUAUUUAUAGAGUUGCUGGCAUUGUUUCUGAAAAGGUUUGCAACCUUUCAGAAACAGUCAUGGCUGUUGGAAAAGGGGUGUUUGAAAUAUUGCGGGAAUUUUUUUUUAAAAAUAAUCCGGAAAAGAAAACGGGCCUGACCGAAUCGGGUCGAGGGUCAUGGGUUAUUCCGGAUUGAUUUUUUCGUUAUUUAUUUAAUUAAUUAAUUAAAUAAUUGAAAGAAAUUUUGUCCAAAAAGAUUAAUCAAUCAAUCUUUGACCGAAGUCGAAGCCGAGCGAGCGACGACGACGGAGCGAGGCUUGCCUUUUUCUUAACUCUUUAAGAGGUAGAAGAAGAGCAAUUAUAUAUAUACUCAUCAAAAGUCUUUUCUUUCUCCGAUAUGGAACAAUGUCUCUUUCCCAAGGGAAACUCAAAUAUUUUAUUUUCCCUCCAUUUCUCGUUCAGCCUCUUUAAAUUACACAAGCUUAAAAUUCCAACACCAUAUUUAAUAGUAGCGAUGAUAAUGAUAUCUUUAACAGAUUCAAGGCUUCCAAACUAUGAGUUAAAUCUAAACAAGUACUGUAUUUUAGUGGUGAUCGAUCAUAACUACAUUUACAAGAACCUCAAGCUAUGGAAUCACAGUAUAAUAUUGUAAACACUUAUUGGGAUAACUCUGUGGGGAUUCACCCAAAAAAAGAGUGAUUAAAAAUGAGCCUGAACAGAAUAGUGUGAAGAAGAAGAAAAAAUAGGUUUGGAAAAAUAGCAGAAAAAUGAGUUUGAAAGAAGUACAACAGAAAUGGCCAGAAAUUAAUGGUGGAAAAAGGGGAGCAAUGAGGAAUCUAGUUGUCAAGGAAGAAUAAGGAAUCUGGAGGUGUAACCCAGGCCUUUCACGAGCUUGNNNNNNNNNNNNANNNNGAUGUGUAAAACACUUGUAGUGCCAUGUGAGCAAUGUGUGUUUGUAGAUGCACAUUGAUAGAGGCUGAAGUGUCUCAUAGGUAAACCCCUUAGUUAAGGUGCCUAUAUGAACUUUUACGAACUUGUAAUGAAAGAACUCCCAAAAUUUAUAAUCUACAUAAGUUUUUAUGAAAAAUUGAAACUUCUUAGCUAAAACUUUGCAAAAUGCUUUAUUUUUCGGAAACGGCUUAAAAAUGAGGUCGUUCUGGUGUGACGACCCGAUAGGUCGUCUUGAGUUCUAGCCCUUAUUUUCGUGUUUCGAGACUUCUAUUAGCUACAUUUAGUAUUUUUCGAUUUGCGUACGCAAUCCGUGUCUUGUUCAGGAAAGAUUUAAUGUGAAUUUUUUUAAAAAAAAAAAAUUAGCUUUAAAAAUGAUUUGAGUUGACUACGGUCAAUAUUUUGUGUAAACAAUCAUCGGCAUUUUGACGAUCUCGGUGGGUCUGCAUCGUGAUUUUGGACUUUGGCGUAUGCAUAGAAUUGAAUUCGGAAGUCCCUAACUUGAUUUUGACUUGAUUUAUUGAAAACUAGUAACUUGAAGGUUUAAAGAUUUCUAUUGCUGCCAGGUUCGGAUUUCGGUUCCGGAACUUGGUAUAGGUUCAUUUUACUAUUUAAAACUUGUCUGCAAAAUUUAGUGCAAAACAGAGUUGGUUUGAUAGGAUUCGGAUGCUCGGUUGUUAAUUUGGAAGUUCUUGAGUUUCUUUGAAAAUUUUAUGCAUUUUGAUGUCUGAUUCCAACACCAUAUUUAAUAGUAGCGAUGAUAAUGAUAUCUUUAACAGAUUCAAGGCUUCCAAACUAUGAGUUAAAUCUAAACAAGUACUGUAUUUUAGUGGUGAUCGAUCAUAACUACAUUUACAAGAACCUCAAGCUAUGGAAUCACAGUAUGAUAUUGUAAACACUUAUUGGGAUAACUCUGUGGGGAUUCACCCAAAAAAAGAGUGAUUAAAAAUGAGCCUGAACAGAAUAGUGUGAAGAAGAAGAAAAAAUAGGUUUGGAAAAAUAGCAGAAAAAUGAGUUUGAAAGAAGUACAACAGAAAUGGCCAGAAAUUAAUGGUGGAAAAAGGGGAGCAAUGAGGAAUCUAGUUGUCAAGGAAGAAUAAGGAAUCUGGAGGUGUAACCCAGGCCUUUCACGAGCUGGCAAGAUGUGUAAAACACUUGUAGUGCCAUGUGAGCAAUGUGUGUUUGUAGAUGCACAUUGAUAGAGGCUGAAGUGUCUCAUAGGUAAACCCCUUAGUUAAGGUGCCUAUAUGAACUUUUACGAACUUGUAAUGAAAGACUCCCAAAAUUUAUAAUCUACAUAAGUUUUUAUGAAAAAUUGAAACUUCUUAGCUAAAACUUUGCAAAAUGCUUUAUUUUUCGGAAACGGCUUAAAAAUGAGGUCGUUCUGGUGUGACGACCCGAUAGGUCGUCUUGAGUUCUAGCCCUUAUUUUCGUGUUUCGAGACUUCUAUUAGCUACAUUUAGUAUUUUUCGAUUUGCGUACGCAAUCCGUGUCUUGUUCAGGAAAGAUUUAAUGUGAAUUUUUUUUUUUAAAAAAAAAUUAGCUUUAAAAAUGAUUUGAGUUGACUACGGUCAAUAUUUUGUGUAAACGAUCAUCGGCAUUUUGACGAUCUCGGUGGGUCUGCAUCGUGAUUUUGGACUUUGGCGUAUGCUUAGAAUUGAAUUCGGAAGUCCCUAACUUGAUUUUGACUUGAUUUAUUGAAAACUAGUAACUUGAAGGUUUAAAGAUUUCUAUUGCUGCCAGGUUCGGAUUUCGGUUCCGGAACUUGGUAUAGGUUCAUUUUACUAUUUAAAACUUGUCUGCAAAAUUUAGUGCAAAACAGAGUUGGUUUGAUAGGAUUCGGAUGCUCGGUUGUUAAUUUGGAAGUUCUUGAGUUUCUUUGAAAAUUUUAUGCAUUUUGAUGUUUGAUUCGUAGUUCUAGGUAUUAUUUUGAUCACGCGAGCGAGUUCAUGUGAUGUUAUUAUACUUGUGUGCAUGUUUGGUUUGGAGCCCGAGUGGCUCGGGUGAGUUUCGGAUAAGCUACAGAGCAUUUGAACUUUUAAAAAAAUGUUGGUUAAGCUAUAUGAUGAUGUCUUAUGCAAUAUGUUUCGUGAUCGCGAAGCCGCUCUCGCGAUCGCGAAAGGGAAAUUGGGACAGAGGUGUAUUCCUUCUAUGUGAAUGCGAGGAUGCGAUCGCGAACGCAAAGCAGCGGGGGAACUAUCCUUCGCGAACGCGAACGCGACCUCACCCACACGAACGCAAUGGGUUAAUGGGUCUGGGGGAAGGCUGGGCUGAUACUCCAUCGCGAACACGGAGCGUAUCUCGCGAACACAAAGGCCAUUCGAGCCGUUGUGCGCGAUCGCGUCAGGUCCUUCGUGAAUGCGAAGAACACCUUACGCCAGUGAUUUAAAACAUUUCAAAAUCGAGAUUCUUCUCAUUUUUCACCAUUUUUAAGUUUGAGCUCGGCCUAGAGGCGAUUUUGAAGAUAUUUUUCAUCCCAACUUAAUAGGUUAGUAGAUUUUAACUUGUUUCCUUACAUUUCCAUAAACACCCAUUGAUUAUAACCUUUAAUCUAUUCUUUUUUAUGGUAAAAAUUAGGAAUUUAGGUAGAAAUUGGAGAUUUUGAGAAAUUGAGACUUAGACCGCAAAUUGAGGUUGCAUUUCGAAACUAAUCACAUAAUCGGGCUCGGGGGUGAAUGGGUAAUUGGGUUUUUGUCCGAAUCUCGAGUAUUGACCAAGCGGGCUCGGGGUUUACUAUAAUGACCUGAUAGGUCAUUUUGAGUAUUAGCCCUUAUUGUCAUAUUCUGAGACCUCCAUUAGCUUUGUUUAAUAUUUCUUGGUUUGUGUGCGUGGGCCGUGUCACUUUUUGAAAAGCUUUUAUGUGAAAGUUUGAAGAAAAUAUAAUUUUUGGCUUUAAAAACAACUUGAGUUGACCACGAUCAACAUUUUAUGAAAAUGACCUCGAAUCGGUAUUUUGACGAUUUCGAUAGUUCCGAAUCAUGAUUUUGGACUUGGGAGUAUGCCCAGAAUUGAAAUUGGAGGUCCCUAGAUUGAUUUGACUCAUUUUGCCGAAAAUUAGUAUUUUGAAAGUUUAGAAAUUUUCUAAGUUUGACCAUAAGUUGACUUCACAGUUAACGAGUUCAUAUUUUGAUGUUGAAACUUGGAAUAGGUGUGUAUUACUAUUUGAAACUUGUCUACAAAUUUUGGUGCACUUCGGAAUUGAUUUGACAUGCUUCAGACGCUUAUAUGUGAUUCUAAUUGUUCUUGAGUUUACUUUGAAAUUUCAUUCGUUUUGAGGGUUGAUUUGUAGAUUUGGAUGUUAUUUUGGUAAUUUGAUUGUGCGAGCGAGUUCAUAUGAUGUUAUUACACUUGUGUGCAUGUUUGGUUUGGAGCCCGAGGGGCUCGGGUGAGUUUCAGACGUGUUUCAGAUGAGUAUGGUUAGUGUAAAGACUGCUAGUGCAUGGAACACUUCUGGUGUCUGAUACAGAUCUCACAUCUGUGAGGUUUGGCUCGCAAUUGUGAGUCAUGCUUUUGCGAACAAUAGCUGGCAUUUGCGAGCAUAGGCAGGGCUAAUCUCGUAAUUGUGAGGAAAAUAUUCGCAUUUGCGAGCAUGGGCUGGGCUAAUCUCGCAAUUUCCAGGAAAAUGUUCGCAUUUGCGAUCUCAGAGUCGCAUUUGCGAUCUCAGAGUCGCAUUUGCGAUCUCAGAGUCGCAUUUGCGACUCAGUGUGCUCUUGAGUGAUCUUCGCAAUUGCGAAGGAAUCGUCCGCAUUUGCGAAGGUAGGUUUGUUCGCAAUUGUGAACCUUUUGUCGUAAUUGCUGCUUCUGCGCUUCUAUGACAGUGUUCGCAUUUGCGACCCUUGUCUCGCAUUUGCGAACAAGACAUCGCAAUUGCGACAUUUGCAAUUGGGUAAGAGAGAGGGAAAAUGGGACUUACCUCAUUUUACAUCAUUUCUCAACCCUAAACACUCUAGAGGUAAUUUUCAAGAGACCUUUUUUCCUAAGUUCAUUGGUAAGUGACUCUAAUCUAUUUCCUUUCAAUUACCCAUUACUUUUCAUGAGAUUUCAAAUUUAAAUUUAUGAUUUCCAUGAUAGAAAUUAGGGAUUUGGGUAGAAUUAGAAAGUUUUUGUAAAAUUGAGAUUUAAACCUCAAAUUGAGGUCGGAUUUUGAAACAAAUCAGAUAACCGGGCUCAGGGUGAAUGGAUAAUCGGGUUUUGGUCCGAACCUCGGAUUUUGACCAAGCGAGCCCGGGGUUGACUUUUUAAAAAAUGAUCAAAAUUGAACCUCUUUCAUUAAUGAGUAGUUUCUAAAGCUUAGUUUGAAUCAUUUGAUUGAUAAUUUGCUAGAUUUGGUUGGUUUGGAGACUUGUUCGAAAGGCAAAGUCGUGGUUGGUUGAUUGCUUUGAUUCGCGGAGUGAGGUAAGUGUUGGGUCUAACCUUGAUUUGAGGAAAUUAGAGAACCUUGAACUAUGUGUUAUGCGAAUUAUAUGAGGAAAAUGGUGUAUAUGCAAGGUGACAGAUGUAUAUACGCCGUCAUGAUAUUUGUUUCCAUGUUUUCGUUUAUUUCAUUAUAUAUCUUGCUUCAUGCCUUAAUUGUUACAUGCUUUAUUUGACUUCUAUGCCAUAAUUGUUACUUUUCAUUUAAUUAUUCUUGUAUUAAAUUGUCCAUCCCUUCCAUGACUAUAUGCUUAUUUGCUACUCGUCUCUACUUGUAUAUCUAAAUUGUCACAUGCUUUACUUGUCUUAUUGUUUGUAUUAUUUGUUGCAUUCUAUAAUGCGAUUUCACUUGCAUGAGUUAUUUAAUUGAUAGAUACCGAUGAAUUGGUAAAGUUGAGACUUCGAGUUGUUAGAGAUUCUUUGAUUAUUAUGUGGUUCUUUAUUACCUCGUACAUUUACCUUCUUGAUGUAAAAAUUCUUGUAUAUUUGGUUGUUGAAUUGUUUAUGUUGAUUGAAAUUGUUUGGGGAGCGGGUUGUACGCCGCAACGAAAAUUGGAAGGUAACGAAUUGAAAUGGUGGAAUAAGAAUGGAUUAUGGUAUUGACAAAUGAUGAUAUGGUAGAAUCGGAUUGCGCACCGCAAUUGAUUAUAUAUGUGGUACUUGUUUGUGAUUGUUGGAUUUGGAUCGGUAUUGUGAUAUGAGAUUAUGAGACUUGUUAUUCUUGACUCUCUAGUAGUUGGAUUUCGAGUUCUUUUUCAUGAGUUAACUGCUUUACUUCCAUUUCCUAUUUUCUUGUUAUUAUUAUUACUGUGUACAUGUUAUUAUAAGUGGCCCGCCUUAGCCUCGUCACUACCUCGUCGAGCUUAGGCUCGGUACUUACAGAGUACAUGGGGUCGGUUGUACUCAUACUAUACUCUGUACUUCUUGUGCAGAUACCGAAGUUGGUCCCAGCAGCGCUGAGUGAGAUUUCGGGUCAUGACAUUGACUUUUGUUGACUUUUUCCAAAAUCAUUAAAGAUUGAAUCUUUUUCACUCGUGAGUAGUUUCUAAAGCCUAUUACGAAUUAUUCAAACUAUAAUUGGUUAGAUUUGAUUGGUUUAGAGGCUAAUUCUAGAGGAAAAGUCGUGGUUGAGCAUUAAUUUGGUUGCAGAGUGAGGUAAGUGUCGUGGUUAACCUUGACUUGAGGUAUUAGGACUUGUUGGCCUAUUUUCUAUGUGUUUUAUGUGUGGGGACAACAUAUAUGUGAGGUAACGAGUAUGUAUGCGUUGUCAUUGAAUUAAAACAUGCAGGUGAAAGUUAUUUCUUUAUAUUAUAUUGUUUCAUUGACUAUGUUUUUCAUGUUUAGGUUAGAAUGUUACUUCUUUUAAUUAUUCGUUUCGUAUUUAUUGUUUAUUUCAAAGAUGUUGAAUAUUUUGAAAGUUGAGUUUGAUAUCAUAUGUAAUGACUCGGCCGGUCGUUUUGAGAGUUGUAGCCCUAUUACCCUAUUUACUGCUCAUUGUGUACUUUAUAGUUGUUAUGUGACUUGUCGGGAUAGUCGGUUUGGGUCUGGUGGGGUUUUGGAAGGAAAUAAGACACUUAGUCUCAUGGUUGAAGGCUUAAGUUGAAAUGGUUGACCGGAUGUUGACCUAUGAGUAAACAACUCCGGAAUGGAGUUUUGAUGGUUUCAUUAGCUACGUUGCGUGAUUUUGGACUUAGGAGCGUGUCUGGAUUGUGAUUUGGAGGUCUGUAAUGGAAUUAGGCUUGAAAUGACGAAAGUUGGAUUUUUGGAAAGUUUGAGCGGGAGUGAAAUCGGGGUCGAAUUUUGAUUUUGGAAGUUGGAGUACGUCUAUAAUGUCAUUUUUGACUUGUGUGCAAAAUUUGGGGUCAAUUGGAUUCGAUUUGAUAGGUUUCGACGUCAUUUCUAGAAGUUGGAAUUCCUUAGUUUCAAUAGUCUUGAAUUGAGGUGUGAUUCAUGUUUUUGAUAUUGUUUGAAGUAAUUUGAAGGCUCGACUAAGUUCGUAUUGUAUUUUAAGACUUGUUGGUAUAUUUGGUUGAGGUCUCGGGGGCCUCAGAUUAAUUUCGGAUGGUUAACGGAUCAAUUUUGAACUUGGUGUUAUGGCUGAAGUUUUCUGGUGUCUGAUAUGGUUUCCUUGUACGCGAUCGCAUGAAAGGGGUCGCGAUCACGUAGGCUUGUUUGGGGAAGUGGUGAUUUUUUCCCUAUACGUUCGCGAGUGGUGGUACGCGAUCACGUAGGUUUGGUUAGUCAGUGCAUCGCGAACGCGUGUGCAUUGUCGCGUUCGCGAAGAGGAGAGGAGGCAACUGGUUCUCACGCGGUUGUGCUUCGCGAUCGCUGGAGGGGAGACACGAUCGCGUAGGUUGGAGGAAGCAGAGGUCUCCGCGUUCGCGUGGGGGUCUCCGCGUUCGCGUAGAAUUAACUUCUGGGGUAGCUGUGUUGUGCUUCGCGAUCGCGAGGCUAUUUCCGCGAUCGCAAAUAAGGAUCACUAGGCAGAACUUUAAAUAUUUCAAAACGAGGGUUUGAGUUCAUAACACAAAAUUCAUUUGGUAGCUCGGUGGGAGGCGAUUUUUGGAGAGAUUUUCAAGUGGGUGAUUGACGUAAGUGAUUCCUACCUAGUUUUGAUUAAUUUCCAUGAUUAUGUCUUUAAUUUCAUCAUUAAAUUAGUGAUUUGGGGUGGACAUUUGGGGGCAAAUGGAGGAAAGUUCUUAGGCCGAAUUUUGAGGUUUUGAUUGAGAUUUUAGUGUCAGAUUUGGGUAAUUUUAGUACGGGUGGACUCGUGGUUGAAUGAACUUUUGACUCGAUUUUUGACUUUUGAUUAUUAACUUAGCAUUUUCUUAUGGAGUUGAUUCCUUUAGCCCGUAUUGAUUAUAUCGAAUUAUUUAUGGCUAGAUUCGAGGCAUUCAGAGGCCGUUUCGCGAGGCAAGGGUGUAUUGGAGUAGAGUUUUUCUUGGAUUGAGGUAAGUAACAGUUCUAAAUUUGAUUCUGAGGGUACGAAACCCCGCAUUAUGUGUCAUGUGUUUGGUUGUGAGGUGACGCACAUGCUAGGUGACGGGCGUGUGGGCAUUCACCAUAGGAAUUGUGGCUCAUCUAAUCCUAUGGAACUGUGUAGUUGAAUAAUUUGUUGUUAUCCAUACAUUUUUUCACGUAUUAGAGAAACUGAACUGCUAAUCAUGUUAGAAAUCAGGUUUAGACCAUGUGUUGACACUGUAGGGACCCACAGAGGUUGUGUACAUGUUGAAUUAUCUGCUAAAUUGUUAUUUUGUACUCAGUCACAGUUUUACUUGUAUGUUACAUCUCAGUCUCUAUUGUUCAUUAUUGAUGCAUUACAUCGUUGCUGUUUGGGCUGCUUAUCAUGAUUUUCGAGAGCCCGAUAGACUGGAGAGGUUGAUGACUGAAUGAGGUCGAGGGCCUGAUUGUGAGGAUAUUUAAGGGAUCGUAUUGCACGUCGCAGCAUGUUUCAUUGAUAUAUGCCAUGAUUUAUUUGUUAUAAUGCUUGGGCUGAAGGAGCCCCUCCGGAGUCUGUACACACCCCCAGUGAGCGCAGGUACCUACUGAGUACGAGUGUCGAGUGCUGAGCGACUAAGAGGAAUGAGUGACUGCGAGGAAUGAGUGAUUGUGAGGUUGGAGUGAAUGUGAGGACUGAGUGACUGCUGCUCUGUGAGGAUGCAUUUGACUUCAUUAUUUUUGCACUUCAGCUGUCAUAUAUCAUUGUCUUGAAAUUUUUGAAAGAUACUAUCUUCUGUUUCAGUUGAACCUGACAUGAAUUUACUGUUUUGGCCUUAAUUGUCGAACUUGAAAGCAUGCCUACCUUCCUAUGUUGAAAUCAUUGUAAUUGAACUUUAACUGUGAAGCUCGUCACUACUUUCAGUUCUUUAUUUAGUCUUGUUACUUACUGAGUUGAUUGUACUCACGCUACACCCAGUACUUUGUGUGCAGAUCCAGGUGUUUCCGGACACAGUGGGUGUUUAUUUCAUUGCACAAUUGAUCAUUUGGAGAUUUCAAGGUAGCUGCCCGGCGUUUCGCAGACCUUGUCUCUCUAUUCCUAUCUUUUCGCUUAUCGUAUUUAGUUUCAGACUAUCAGAGACAGUAUUUUCCAGACUUGUGAUGUAUAGAUGCUCAUGUACUCUGUGACACCACGAUUGUUGGAAACUUUUGCGUUGUGUUUUCGGGUUUCUAUCCCAUUUAUGAGAAUUUUCAUUGUUUAAACUGUUUUAAUUCAUUUUCUCUUGAAAGUGUUGGAAAUAUUGUGGAAUGUCGUCUUGCCUAGUACCACGUUAGGCGCCAUAAUGAGAGGCUAGGAUUUUGGGCCAUGACAAGUUGGUAUCAGUGCCUAGGUUACAUAGGUCUCACGAGUCAUGAGCAGGUUUAGUAUAUUCUUGUGGAUCGGUACGGAGACGUCUGUACUUAUCUUUGAGAGGUUGUCUAACCCUUAGGAAACUUCAUAUUCUUGUAUUCUUGUCGUGCGGAUUUGUUGACUCCGGUAACUAAACUUUUGUAUUCUAUUCUCUCACAGAUGGUGAGUACACGUGCUACCAGACAUAAAGGACAGCCACCAGUACCACCAGUUAGGGCCACGAGAGGCCGAGGUCGCGGUAGGGGCAGAGGUGCAGCUCGUACAACAGCUAGAACGGCACCUGCAAAUCCACCUGUUGCUCCAGCUCAGGAGUAGGUUCCAUAUGUGUCUUAGUCAGUAGGGCCAGCUCAAGCACCACUUGUGCUCAUUGUGAUUUCAGGCCUUCAGGAGGCUUAGGCCCAAAUAUUGACCGUUUGCACUGGCCUUGGUUUCGGCUCAUGCCGCACCAGCCACUUCUCAGGCCGGGGGAGGUACUCAUACCUCCGUUUCCCGUACUCUAGAGCAAGUGGUCCCCGUUAUGACUGAUGAUGAGCGGAGGAGACUUGAGAGGUUUGGGAAACUUCAGCCUCCAUCAUUCAGCGGUGCUGGGACAGAGGAUGCCUAGGGUUUCUAGGAUAAGUGCCAGUGGAUUCUUUGCACUGCGUGUAUUCUGAAGACCAGUGGGGUCUCGUUCACUACUUUCAGUUCAUUGGGGCUGCCUUCAGAUGAUAGGAGGCUUACGAGAGGCGCAGGACGGUCGGUGCAGCACCACUUACAUGGUAGGAGUUCUCCGUUCUCUUGUUGGAAAAGUUCAUUCUGUAGUCUCGCAGGAGGAGCUGCGCUGACAGUUUGAGCAGUUACGUCAGGAGGGCAUGUCUGUGACGCAGUACGAGACGCAGUAUGGUUGAUUUCCACUGAUAGGGAGAGGAUUAAGAGGUUUAUUGAUGGCCUCACGUAUCAGAUGCAGUUGCUUAUGACUCGGGAGAGGGUGUCUGGUGUUAUUUUUGAUGAGGUGGUCGAUGUUGCUCAGCAGAUAGAGAUGCUCCACAGUUAGGAGUGCGGAGAGAGGAAGACCAAGAGGCCCCGUAGCUCGGGUGGUUUCAGCGGUGCUCCUUUUUAGGGUCAAUUCUACCACGGCAGGGGUCGUCCGUAUAGGCACGCUCAGAUGGCUCGUCCAGUUCACCGUGUGCACCAUCCAGCCAUAAUUCAUACAAUUCUCAUCAUGGUCAAUCAUCUCUCAAUGUCCUUCCAGCUCAGAGUUCGUUUCCUGCUCUAUUGGCUCAGGGUUCAUCUAUGCCGGGUCCUUCUAGCAGUUACCCCGGUGCUCGGGGCUCCCUUCAGUCCCCACCACCAGCAUCGGGGAGUCACUUUGAGUGUAGGGAGUUUGGGCAUAUGUGGAUACAGUGUCCUCGUCGUCUAGGAGGUCUAAUGCAGCAGAGGAGUCAGGCUGCAACUUCAGCACUAGUUACUUCACCACCCGCCUAGCCAGCUCGGGGUGGAGCUCAGUCAGCUAGGGGUCCCCCAAGAGGAGAAGGCCGAUCAGGUGGAGGCCAGGCCCGAUUCUAUGAUAUUCCUGCCAGACCAGAUGUUGUUGCUUUCGAUGCAGUGAUCACAGGUAUUGUCUCAGUAUUCCACAAGGAUGCCUCCCUGGUUCCACUUAUUCGUAUGCAUCAUCGUAUUUUGCUCAUUAUCUGGAUAUGUGAGUCCUUAGUUUUAUCUGUUCAUGUAUCUACGCCAGUGGGUGAUACUAUUGUUGUGAACCGUGUAUAUCGGUCGUGUGUAGUGACUAUUGGGGGAUUGGAGACUAGAUUUGAUCUUUUAUUUCUUAGUAUGGUGAACUUCGAUGUGAUCUUGGGUAUGGAUUGGUUGUCUCCAUGUCAUGCUGUUCUGGAUUGUCACGCUAAGACCGUGACAUUGGCGAUGCCAGGGUUGCCAAGGAUUGAGUGGAGAGGUUCUCUAGACUAUGUUCCCAGUAGGGUGAUUUCAUAUUUGAAGGCCCAACAGAUGGUUGGGAAGGGUUAUUUAUCUUAUUUGGCCUUUGUGAGGGAUGUUGGUGUUGAUACUCCUUCUAUUGAUUAAGUUCGGGUGGUGCGAGAUUUUUCGGAUGUGUUUCCUGCAAACCUGCUGGGCAUGCCGCCCGACAUGGAUAUUGAUUUCGGUAUUGACUUGGUAUCGGGCACUCAGCCCAUUUCUAUCCUAUCGUAUCGUAUGGCACCAACUGAGUUGAAGGAAUUGAAGGAGCAGCUUCAGAAACUUCUUGAUAAGGGGUUUAUUAAGCCUAGUGUGUCGCCUUGGGGUGCACCGGUUCUGUUUGUGAAGAAGACGGAUGGUACUAUGCGGAUGUGCAUUGAUUACAAGCAGUUGAACAAAGUUACAAUAAAAAAACAAGUAUCAUUUGCCGUGCAUUGAUGAUCUAUUUGAUCGGCUGCAGGGAGCGAGGGUAUUCUCUAAGAUUGACUUGAGGUCUAGGUAUCACUAGUUGAAGAUUCGGGACUCGGAUAUUCUAAAAAUAACAUUCAGGACCCAUUAUGGUCAUUAUGAGUUCCUCGUGAUAUCUUUUGGGCUGACUAAUGCCCCAGCAACAUUCAUGCAUCUGAUGAACAGUGUAUUUUAACUUUAUCUUGACUCGUUUGUCAUAGUGUUUAUUGAUGAUAUCUUGGUGUACUCUCGCAGCCAGGAGGAGCAUGCCCAUCAUUUGGGGAUUGUGUUACAGCGGUUGAGGGAGGAGAAGCUUUAUGCUAAGUUCUCCAAAUGUGAGUUUUGGCUUAGAUCGGUGGCGUUCUUGGUGUACGUGGUGUCCAGUGAGAGGAUUCAGGUGUAUUCGAAGAACGUAGAGGCGGUUAAGAAUUGGCCUAGACCGUCCUCAACUACGGAGAUUCAGAGCUUUCUCGGCUUGGCCGAUUAUUAUUGUCGUUUCAUGAAGGGUUUAUCGUCUAUUACAUUGCCUUUGAUGAUGCAUGGUCGGAUUUGUGUGCCUAAUGUGGAUAGGUUACGUGAGUUGAUUCUUGUGGAGGCCCACAGUUCGCGAUAUUCCAUUCAUCCGGGUGCCGCAAAGAUGUAUCAGAACUUGAGGUAGCAUUAUUGGUGGAGAAGAAUGAAGAAGGAUAUAGUGGGGUUUGUAGCUCGGUGCCUCAACUGUUAGCAGGUGAAGUAUGAGCACCAGAGACCGGGUGGAUUGCUUUCGAUGCUAUUUGGGUGAUUAUGGAUCGGCUGACCAAGUUUGCAUACUUUUUUCCAGUUGGGACUACUUAUUCUUCGAAGCGGUUGGUUGAGAUUUACAUCCGAGAGAUCGUUCGCCUUCACAGUGUGCCAGUAUCCAUCAUUUCAGAUCGGGGCACACAGUUUACAUCACAAUUUUGGAGAGUCGUGCAGCAAGAGUUUGGUACCCAGGUUGAGUUAAGCACAUUAUUUCACCCUUAGACGGACGGACAGUCCGAUCUCCCUAUUCAUAUAUUGAAGGACAUGCUAUGCACUUGUGUCAUCGAUUUUGGGAGUUCUUGGGAUCAAUUUCUGCCACUCGCGGAGUUUACCUAUAACAAAAGUUACCAGCCGAGCAUUCAGAUGGCUCCGUCUGAGGCUUUGUAUGGGAGAUGGUGUAGAUCUCCGAUGGGUUGGUUUGAGUCGGGUGAGGCUAGGCUAUUGGGUAUUGACUUGGUUCAGGAUGCUUUGGACAAGGUUAAAUUGAUUCAGGAGCGGCUUUGAACAGCGCAGUCUAGACAAGAGAGUUAUACCGACAUGAAGGUAUGUGAUGUUGCUUAUAUGGUUAGGGAGAAGGUGUUGCUCAAGGUUUCACCCAUAAAGGGUGUUAUGAAGUUCGGGAAGAAGGACAAGUUGAGCCCUUGGUAUAUUGGGUCGUUUAAGGUACUUCAGAGGAUUGGGGAGGUGGCUUACAAACUUCCUUUGCCACCUAGUUUUUCGAGUGUGCAUCCAGUGUUUCAUAUUUCUAUGCUUUGAAAGUAUGCCGGCGAUCUGUCUCAUGUUUUGUAUUUCAGCACGGUUCAAUUGGAUGGUGAUUUGACUUAUGAUGUGGAGUCGAUGGCCAUUUUGGAUUGGCAGGUUCGAAAGUUGAGGUCAAAGGAUAUAGCUUCAGUGAAGGUACACUGGGGAGGACAUCUAGUUGAGGAGGCUACUUGGGAUAUCGAGCGCAAGAUGCGGAGCAUAUAUCCAUACCUAUUUGAGACUCCAAGUACGUUUCUAGACCUAUUCGAGGACGAACGUUUGUUUAAGAGGGGAGGAUGUAAUGACUCGGCCGGUCAUUUUGAGAAUUGUAGCCUUGUUCCCCCAAUUACUUCCCAUUGUGUACUUUAUAGUUGUUAUGUGACUUUAUGGGGUAGUCGGUUCGGGUCCGGUGGGGUUUUGGAAGGAAAUGAGACACUUAGUCUUAUGGUUGAAAGCUUAAGUUAAAAUAGUUGACCAGAUGUUGACCUAUGAGUAAACGACUCCGGAAUGGACUUUUGAUGGUUCUGUUAGCUCCGUUGAGUGAUUUUGAACUUAAGAGCGUGUCUGAAUUGUGAUUUGGAGGUCCGUAGUGUAAUUAGGUUUGAAAUGGUGAAAGUUGGAUUUUUGGAAAGUUUGACUGGGAGUGAACUUUUUUAUAUCGGGGUCGAAUUCCGAUUUUGAAAGUUGGAGUAGGUCUGUAAUGUCAUUUGUGACUUGUGUGCAAAAUUUGGGGUCAAUCGGACUCGAUUUGAUAGGUUUCGGUGUCGUUUGUAGAAGUUGAAAUUCCUUAGUUUCAAUAGGCUUGAAUUGGGGUGCGAUUCGUGUUUUUGAUGUUGUUUGAAGUGAUUUGAGGGCUCGACUAAGUUCAUAUCGUGUUUUAAGACUUGUUGGUAUGUUUGGUUGAGGUACCAGGGGCCUCGGGUUGAUUCCGGAUGGUUAACGGAUCAAUUUUGAACUUGGUGUUGUGGCUGAAGUUUUCUGGUGUCUCUAAUCUGGUUUCCUUGUACGCGAUCUCAUGAAAGGGGCCGCGAUCGCAUAGGCUUGUUUGGAGCAGUGGUGAUUUUUGCCCUAUGCGUUCGCGAGUGGUGGUACGCGAUCGCGUAGAUUUGGUUAGUCAGUGCAUCGCGAACGCGUGAGCAUUGUCGCGUUCGCGAAGUAGAGGAGGCAACUGGUUCUCACACAGUUGUGCUUCGCGAUCGCAGGAGUGGAGACGCGAUCACGUAGGUUAGAGGAAGCAGAGGUCCGCGUUCGCGUUGAGGUCUCCGCUUUCGCGUAGGCCUAAUUUCUGGGGCAGCUGAGUUGUGCUUCGCGAUCGCGAGGCUAUUUCCAAGAUCGCGAUUAAGGAUCACUGGGCAGAACUUUAGAUAUUUCAAAACAAGAGUUUGAGUUCAUAACACAAAAAUUAAUUUGGGAGCUCGGUGGGAGGCGAUUCGUGGAGAGAUUUUUCAAGUAGGUGAUUAAGGUAAAUGAUUCCUACCUAGUUUUGGUUAAUUUUCAUGAUUAUGUCUUUAAUUUCAUCAUUAAAUUAGUGAUUUUGGGGUGGAAAUUUGGGAGGAAAUUCUUAAGUUGGAUUUUAAGGUUUUGAUCGAGAUUUUGGUGUCGGAUUUGGGUAAUUUUGGUAUGGGUGGACUCAUGGUUGAAUGGGCUUCAGGUUUUGUGACGUUUAUCGAAUUUCGAGACAUGGGCUCGCGGGACGAUUUUUGAGUUGAUUUUUGACUUUUGAUUAAUAACUUAGCAUUUUCUUAUGGAGUUGAUUCCUUUAGCACGUAUUGAUUAUAUAGAAUUGUUUAUGGCUAGAUUCAAAGGUCGUUUCGCGAGGCAAGGGUGUGUUGGAGUAGAGUUUUACUCGGAUAGAGGUAAGUAACAGUUCUAAAUUUGGUUUUGAGGGUACGAAACUCAGUAUUAUGUGUCAUGUGAUUGGUUUUGAGGUAACGCACAUGCUAGGUGACGGGCGUAUGGGCGUGCACCAGAGGAUUUGUGGCUUGGCCAAUCAUAUGGAACUGUGUAGUUGAAUAAUCUGGUGUUAUCCGUACAUUUUUUCACUUAUUAGAGAAAUUGAACUGCAAAUCAUGUUAGAAAUCAUGUUUAGACCAUGUGUUGACACUGUGGGGACCCACAUAGGUCGUGUACAUAUUGAAUUAUCUACCAAAUUGUUGUUUUGUACUCAGCCACAGUUUUACUUGCAUAUUACAACUCAGUCUCAAUUGUUCAUUAUUGAUGCAUUAUAUCAUUGUUGUUUGGGCUAGUUAUCAUGAUUUCUGAGAGCCCGAGAGACUGGAGAGGUUGAUGACUGAGUGAGGCCAAGGGCCUGAUUGUGAGGAUAUUUUAUGGGAUCGGGUUGCACGUCGCAAUAUGUUUCAUUGAUAUAUGCCAUGAUUGGCUUGUUAUAGCGCUUGGGCUGAAGGAGCCCCUUCGGAGUCUGUACACACCCCAGUGAGCGCAGGUACCUACCGAGUACGAGUGCCGAGUACGGAGUGCUGAGCGACUGUGAGGAAUGAGUGAUUGUGAGGUUGGAGUGAAUGAGACGACUAAGUGACUGCUGCUUUGUGAGGAUGCAUUUGACUUCAUUAUUUUUGCACUUUAGCUGUCAUAUAUCACUGUCUUGAAAUUUCUGAGAGAUAUUAUCUUCUGUUUCAGUUGAACCUGACAUGAAUUUAUUGUUUUGGCCUUAAUUGUCGAACUUGAAAGCAUGCCUACCUUCCUAUGUUGAAAUCACUGUAAUUAAACUUUAACUGUGAAGCUCGUCACUACUUUCAGUUCUUUAUUUAGUCUUGUUACUUACUGAGUUGGUUGUACUCACGCUACACCUUGCACUUCAUGUGCAGAUCCAAGUGUUUCCGAAACACGGUGGAUGUUGAUUUCAUCGCACAAUUGAUCUUCUGGAGAUUUCAAGGUAGUUGCUCGGCGUUUCGCAAACCUUGUUUCUCCAUUCCUAUCUUUCCUCUUAUUGUAUUUAGUUUCAGACUUUCAUAGACAGUAUUUUCCAGACUUGUGAUGUAUAGUUGCUCAUGUACUCUGUGACACCCCGUUUGUUGGGAACUUUCGCAUUGUGUUUUGGGGUUUCUAUCCCGUUUUAUGAGAAUUUUCAUUGUUUAAACUGCUUUAAUUCCUUUUUUUUAAGUGUUGGAAUAUUGUGGAAUGUCGGCUUGCCUAGUACCGCGUUAGGUGCCAUCACGACAGGUUAUGAUUUUGGGUCGUGACAUCAUAGCACCAUAAUUGAAGUGAAAUUGUUUGUCGCCUUGAUUUUAUUAUUCGGAUAUGUAUUGUUGCUUGGUGAGGAAGAGAGAAAAGCACGAAGAGUGUUGUCGUGCUUUAUUUGUAUUCAUUGUCAUAUAUUGAGAGAUUUGAGAGUAAAAGCAUGAAGGGUGAUGACGUGCUAUUAUAUUCAUGAUAUUACAUGGUGAGGACGAGAGUAAAAGCACAAAGGGUGAUGUCGUGUCAUUCAUCUUCAUUUUAUUGCCUUGUUUGGAUUUCGGUUUUGGUGAUUUAUUUAGUUACAUUAUUUUUUAUUUCGAUGGACGUUUUUUGGUGAUUUCGUAAUUGCAGUUUCUAUGAUAUCUCCCCUUUCGCAUGUCCCCUCCCAGUUGAUAUUUUUAUCGUUCUUGUUAUUUUGUUGCUUUAUAUAUACUUGUACAACCACACAUCUCUAUAACAUCAUCCAUAUAUAAUAGCCAUUCACUAUAAAAGUCAAGUUUUCCUCAGAGCCAAUUUUUAAGUUAUAUUUUACCUCUCUAUGACAGUUUUUUACCUAUAACAACAACAUCCAUAUUUAUAGUAGAACGCCCUUUGUAAAAUUACCCCUCUAUAACAGCCAUAUAGAAUCUUUGAGAUUACUCUCUUUUCUAUUAAAUAAAGUUUCUAUCGUGCAUAAUAUAUAAGAUUUGAAGAUUUGUAAAUAAUAUCUUUUUCAUUGGACAAAUUCCUAAAAAUAUUUAGAUAGAAAAUAUAAUUGUUAAGCUCUUAGAUUGUCUUCAAGAGAAAACAAUUGGAUACGUUUUUGCUAAAAAUUUGGACAUGAAUCUUUACCAAUUCAAGCGUUAUAGCGCUAGUAAGAGAAUAAAAUCUACGAAACAAGCUACAAUUAUAAAGUUCUUCCAUCAAUCUUGAAAAAAAGUAAUUUGUAGGUACCUUUAAAAUAUUUGUCUUAGAGUUUAAAUCUUAUAUAUUUAGUUAAGAAUUUAUUAAUAAUGUAUUAGCUUUCUCAAUAUUUUGACUAGUGAAAUAUGCAUAUCUUUUGAGAUUUUAAAUUUGAAUAAUUUUUAUAUGUAACAUUAAAAAAGAAAAAAUAAUUACUUUUUGGAUAAUUGUUUUUUAUCUAUAACAACAAAAAUAUAUUUAAACUCCAAAUGUUGCUAUAUGUGUAUAACACUCAUUCACUAUAAAAGCCAAAAUAUAUCGGAACAAACGAUAUUGUUAUAGAGAGAGUUGAUUGUACAUGAUUUUUAUGUAGGUGUCUUAUCAUAGCCUCGUCACUACCUCGUCGAGGUUAGGCUCGACACUUACGGAGUACAUUGGGUCGGUUGUACUCAUUCUACACUUCUGCAAUUCUUGUGCAAAUAUUGGUAUCGGUCCCAGCGGUGCUUAGAGGUACGUUGGCUCGGAUCACUUUCACUACGGAGACUCGAGGUAGAUUUGCUGGCGUUCGUAGAUCUUGAAGUCCCCUUCCAUUUCAUAUCUUUAGUGUUUAUCUCUUUCGAACAAUUGUAUUCUUUCAAACUAGGCUUAUAGACUUCUAGUUGUUCAUGUACUUGUGACUCCGGGUUUCUAGGAGUAGUUAGUAUCACGUUGCUUAUAUUCACACCGUGUUAACUUCGGAGUUUAUUUCUCGUUUAAUAUCAUUAUCUUGAAUUAAUCGUUAAAAAUUGAUUAAUUUCUUAUUUAAUGUCGGCUUGCCUAGCAAGUGGAUGUUAGGCGUCAUCACGGUUCCGAGAUUGGGAACUUCGGGUCGUGACAUAUGGCUGUUUGGAUAAUAUUUGGGCGAAGUUAAAAAAAAAUGAAUAUUUGAAAUUGAAGUUGAAGAAAAAUAUUUGGAAGUGGAAAUUAUGUUUAGAUUAUGAGUUUUAUAUUUCUUAAAUUAACUUUUCAACUUCAAAUUUUCUAUUUCAAGUGGAGGUUGAAAUGAAUAAAAUUGUAAAACAAACACCGAUUAGCAAAAUUAAUAAAUCAUUGAUAAGAUGUUAAAAUUUGAGAGUAUAUUUCUUAAGAGAAAAAUAUGUGCUUAGCAUUUAUACGUUGAUAUUUUUUUAAAACAAGAUUAGGUCACUUAUUGUUAAUUACAAAUAAUAGGGUAUAUUAAUCGCGAUUAGUAACAUGAAAAGUAAUGUAUGUACGCACUUCAAUGUAGGUGUAGGUUAAUCUUUUAAAUAAAACUUUAACAUAUAACAUUAUUUCUACUAUUAAUUAUUGAAUUGCCGCGGUUACUUUUUCAAGUGUUGAUAUGAAUAUAUUGAAGUGCAAAUUUAUGGUAUGUUCAACUGUCAUUUUCAUUCACCAUACGACUUAAAUAUUUUAUUUUAGGAAAAUACAUUUCAACAUUUAUCCAUUUUCGUCUAUCAAAAUGUACAUUUAUAACUUUGUUUCCAAAUUAUAUACUUCUGCAUUGUAAAUUUUUAUUUUAAACCUGUGUAUUUAUGGCCUGUUCGCAAAUGAUGAAAAGGAUAUAUAUAAGACAAGAAAAGGAAGUGGAGAAAAUGGACCUCGUAUUCACUGGUCCAAUGUUUCUUCAUCCUUCAUUUUUCAACUGCAAUAACAUUUAAAUUCUGUUGUUUAUCUAGAAACAACCCAAUAUUGACCUUUUCCCAUUUAGGAUAAUUUGAUUUUCAUAAAAGUUAAGCUCUUUUAGCUUUUAACUUUUUGAGUCAACGGCUAGGUUUCAAGAUAUUAUAUCACCUCUCAAACUUUAGAAAAUAUCAUCAAAGAUUGUGAUGAAAUAUUUAAGAUCUUCGCACCUUUCGGUUGUUGGCUCCAUGCAUAGUGUUUUGAUCAUGACACAGAGAUAUUUAUCAAGAUUGUGGUGAGAAUAAAAUAGGGGGAAUUACGCUACUUGUCACUUAGCCCAACCGUCAAACAAAAAAUGACCCAUGUUUGAAGCUCUUACCUGAUAUGGUACAAGUUAUACAUAAUCUGAAAAUUACUUUUCACCAGUAAGUUCACCCUAUUUAAUUUUUUUUUCUUUUCUUUGUUUUUCUUUUUCAUCUUUCACUAUUUUGCACCCCAAAAUUUCUCUACCAUUAUAUUUAUUCAAUUAUCCUUCCAGAUUCAAAGUUGAUAACCACUAUUUAGAUGAAAAGAAAAAAUACUACGUAAGAGAAUUUAUUUUUUGGAGUCACCAUUAAAGGUCGUUCGAAGCUUUCAAUUUCAGAAAUUGGAUUUUUCGAUUUUGUUAGGUGUUUGGAUUGGGUGUCGUCCCAAUUGAUUGGGAUCAUCAAGGGAAGUUCAAAACUCAAAUUUGAAGUGAUUUGAAGCAGAUUUAAGUUAGAUUUGAGUUGAAUUUCAGAAGAUGCCCCGGGAAAAAGAAGAACCCGUGGAGCUCCAUUAAUAGGAUUCAUUUGUAUAAUAGUAUAUAAUAUUGUAUAAAUAAUGUAUAAUAGUAUAUAAACACCUCUUAUAUAUUAUUUUAUACAAGGUUGAUACAUUAUUUACAAGUAUUUGGUGAAUUUCUCACAUUUCUUCUUCUUCUUCUUCUUCUUCUUCUUCUUCUUCUUCUUCUUCUUCUUCUUCUUCUACUACUACUACUACACCUAUAUACAUAAUGUAUCACUAAUAUUUUCACAAUGGUGCUUAUACAUCUUUAUACACUUUUACAGCUAUAUAUAAUGUACCUCUUUGUAUAAAAGUGUAUAAUAUUGUAUAAAAGUGUACUGGCGAAAUUUUUGUACGAUUUUCACUUGCAAUUCUUGUUUAAAACUAGUUCAAAUCCCCAUCAAACGAACUUCAAACUUUGUAUACAGCCUACUUAGACUAUUUCUAAUAAGUUCAAACAAUGCCCGCUUCAAAUUUCUCUCAAAAUUAUAUUCAAAAUUUAGCAAGAUUAGCAUUAAAGGAGAUAGGAUUUUAGAUUUCUCGAUUUAUUUAUUUAUUUGCAUUUUUUUAGGUGUGAUAGGUAUGUAGAAACUUGAGGAAAAAGGAGAAUGGAAACUCACGGAUGUUUCACGCCUGAAAAUAUAGAGAAUAAAAAAAAAAAAAAAACAGAUCUAAGCUUCUUAAUAUUUGGCUAUACAUUUACAAACUUGUAAGUGGGCUAAAGUACUGCAAGGUCAACUUAUGGAGUGCAUUAUUCUGUAAUUUUGUCAAUAAAAUAAUAUACUUGCUCACUUUCCUAGCCAUUAACGUUUUAAGGUUAAAAAUCUAUUUUUGUCUUUCUUAUCUGUAUUUUGUGUGCUAUUUCUUACGUCCCGACAAAGAACCUCCAUUUCAAGCCUCGAACUCUUAUUUAUAUUUAGUUCGAACAAGAGCGAUCAUCCUUAAAAUUAGAAUUCUCUUUUGAGCCUUGUGUACAAAAAUAAUCUUGAUAAGAGUACUUGCCGUUUAAUGAGUCUCUUUGAAUUCGAAUUGAUCCAAAGUUUCAAUUAGAAUACCAAAUGAGAAAUAAAAAAUGUUCUUGAAAGUAAUAUAAAGUAUCAAACUAUUUUUCAUUAUAUUUUCGUAGAACAAAAAGUAAGGAAAGAGGUCUUAAUAGUAAGGAAUAAGACGAUCCUUUGUUGUUACUAGGUUAUAAAAUAUUCAUUGUUAUAAAUAUAUUAUAUUAUGGAUGUUCAUUUAGUACUAUGUUGUAAAUAAGCUUUCUGAAAAAGCUUAUCUAUAUGGGACUCCGCCGUAAAUAUGUUUAUCUAUUUAGUACUCUAUUGAAAAUAAGCCUCCUGAAGAAGCUUAUCCUUUCGGUACUCCGUUAUAGAUAUUAUCUAUAUCUGGUAUAGUAGCAGCUUACAAGUAGCUUACACAGCAGCUUAGAGUAGCAACUUACAAGCAGCUUACACAACAGCUUACAAGCAGUUUACAAAGUAACUUGCAGUAGCAGCUUACACAACAACUUCCUUUCUUCUAUAAAUAGAGGAGAAUUCAGUUCAUUAUGUACAUCAAUUUGAAGUUGAAUAAAAAUAUCAAUCUCCCUCUAUACUUGUUUUCGAUUUAUUUACUUUACAAUCUUUAUUUUAUAACACUUUAUCAGCACGAGACUCUACCAUAUCGAGCACUUACUUUGAAUUUAGUUUUUCUAUUUCAGGAUAAGAAGUAAUUCAAAGUCACAAUAGUGAGGGAAUUAAUAGAUGGUGCCCAACAUAGAAAAUCUAGAAGAAAAGCAAGUCUCUACAUCGUUGGAGAAAUCAAAGGCUUAGCUUGUAUAUUUCCAGCUAUUAUGAUUAUUUGGUGUUGAAGCACUGAUUGCUCGGAGGUAUCAAGUAUUAUUUAUUUCAUUAAUUACUCAUCUUAGCUACUAAAUGUGUUAUAAAGAGCAAUCAUGCAUAUCAUGUAAGAGAGAAAAUUUGUAUCGGUGUAUGCGUAUGGCUAAUGAUUGAAAGAGAUUUGUCACCUCCAAAAGGUGAUUUUUUUUAAAUCCAGCCAAUCUUCCUAUUAUCACUAGGAGUGACAAAUAUUGUGAGAGGCAACAAAUUUGCUCCUGCAGAUCAUCGCUUGAACUCCAGUAGAGUUCAUGAGAAAUGUAAGAUCACUAGAAGUGAUUAUAUAUUUUAUAUCGUCUUAUUGUAACUAACUUUUGUUAACCACCAGAAGUGGUAUAUGCCUAUGACCACCAGAAGUGAUAAUUUAGGCUUUCUAUGGUUACAAUUAAAGAUAAGCUAGAGAAAUAUUCUCUAUAUUACAUGCACGCCUCGAUUUGAUCCUAAAGUAGUAAAUAUUUUAAAAGAAGUUGAAGCAUCACAANNNNNNNNNNNNNNNNNNNNNNNNNAUUACAAUUCACAUCCAUAAGAGUUAAUAUGAUUGAGAGAAUAUAUACUCAAUAUUUCGUAUUUUAAAUUUGCUCCUGAAGAAGUAACACAAUUAAAAUUUCCUCCUGAAGUAAGAAAAUAUUAUGAAGAGGUGUUUUCUUGUGCUUAAAUAAUUGUUUUAUAUUUUAUUUGAUUAUGAUUUUCUCUCAUGAUACCAGAAGUGUCUGAGCAAUAUUUGGUAGUAUAAAAUUUAUCAAAAGCUCCUGGAGAGCUAACUGUUUGUCUAGAAGACACAUGACACAAGUAGUGCCUGAAUAAUAUUUGAUUGUAGACAAUAAAUUGAAGGCUCCCGAAGAGAUUAUAUGCAAAUUUGUCAUUUAUAUUAGAUGAUUAUGGUCAAAACAUAUGUUGUAGUAAACCUAAAAUUUACUAAUAUAAAUUGCUAUCAUAUUGAGACUACAAAUAAUUGGAAGAUUGAAAAUCUUUAUGUUUCCACAAUCAUACGGAAUAAAAUAAUAUGUAUGUGAGAAGUUUACUAAUGCAAAAGCAGUCACAGUAAAUCAGAAGUUUUACUAAGGCAAAAGUAGCUGCAGUAAAUCAGAAAUUCGCUGAUACAAAAGUAGCCACAGUAAACCAGAAGUUUACUAAUGCAAAGGCAGUUACAGUAAAUCAGAAAUUCGUUGAUACAAAAGUAGUCACAAUAAAUCAGAAGUUUACUAAUGCAAAAACAGUCACAGUAAAUCAGAAGUUUUACUGAGGAAAAAGUAGCUAUAGUAAAUCAUAAAUUCGCUGAUACAAAAGUAGCCACAGUAAAUCAGAAGUUUACUAAUGCAACAAGUUUAUGCCAUAGUAAACCAGAAGCUUACUAAGAUAUAGCACAUGCUAUGAUAAACUUGAAGUUUUUAUUUGCCAUUUUUAAAUGAGCCAUUUGAGAAUUCAGAUAAGAAUAUACUGAAGAACUAGAAGGUUCUUCAAGAAUUCUCUUGUGUUGUUUGUUCUCAUAAUAAAUUGAUUAUACCAGCUAAAAUUGGGACUAAAAUCCAUGAAUUCUGAAAUAUAUAAAUGGUGAAUAUGGGUCCAUUCACUUAUCAUGUGAACCACUUAUAAAUGCAUAUAUGAGAUGGUUACAUGUGUCUUUAUUGUCAACCUGCAGUUUGGCAUUUGAAAUUGCCUUUCUCAAUUAAGAGCAUAAUUUUCAGAUUAUGAAAUCAAGAUAGUUCAUCUUGAUGAUGUUGGUUUAUAUCCAAACUACUUUAGCAUUGAAUACCUCCUAUUAAUGGUUAAACCGUUGAUUAUGAGAACAAAGCCUCAUGUGUUGGUCUAAGAUUUUUUAAAUUGCAUACAACAAUACUUGUAUGCAUCAGACCAAUAAAAUAUGAUAAGUCAUCCCCUCACAAUUGGUUUAGGAUCAGAAACCAAAUAUUUUUACCAUCUAAUAACUUUUGAUGUGUGGUAUAUGAUUAAUUUCUCUACCACAAUGCACAAAGAUAGGCUUCCCAAAGAAGAUUGGGGAUAUGAGUUUGUUUUUCUAACAUUUGGAGAUGGAAUAAACAGCUAGAAAAUAUGCUAUAUGAAUCGAAUUAUCAUUAAUAUGAUCCUCAUUUAGAAGAUAAUUCAAGUCAAAUGCCAGAAGCAUUUGAUGAUCUAAAAUUAAAUAUCAUAUUUAAGCUGCAAAUGCUCCUAUUAAAAUUAAAGUCCCUGAAGGAUAAAGUUUACUGCAUGCAUGAAGCAUAGUAAACCGAUCGGUUUCAAAGGUAACAAUCAUUAAAAAUUAUAGGAGCAAAUGAGUUUUAGAAGAGCCCACGACAUAACAUUUCAUGAAACUCUAGAAGAAGUUUAGGUACCUGAAAAUAAAGAAAGUGAUGAGAUCUCAACAAGUUAUGUUGCUUAGGAACCGAUAAAAAAUGAUCGUCGACGAUAUAUUUGAUACAAUAUAGUUCACAAUAUUAUAAAAGAUUGUGAGGAUCGGACCUGUAGUCCAGACACCUGAAGAUGUCAUGCCAUUUAAAUGCAAGUCAUAACCUAUAUGACUCAUUUGAUUAAGUCUAUAUGAAUAUCCCUUGACGAUUUAAAAUGCCUAAAGCAUAUAAUUCAAAGUAUCGUGAAAUGUACUCAAUAAUAUUACAAAAAAAAAAUUAUGGGUUAAAUCAAUCUGGGCGCAUGUCAUAUAAUCGCCUCAGUGCAUAUUUGCUGAAAGAAGGUUACAUAAAUGAUGUUAUUUGUUCAUGUAUUUUUAUAAAGAAAAUGACAUCAGAAUUUGUUAUACUUGUUGUUUAUGUUGAUGACAUAAAUCUUGUUGGAACUCUAGAAGAGUUCCAAAAAGGCAAUUGAAUAUCUUAAGAAAGAAUUUGAGAUGAAAGAUCUUAAAAAGACAAAACUUUGUCUUGAUCUGCAAAUUGAAUAUUUAGCAGAUUGGAUCUUUAUCCAUCAAUAUGCCUAAAGAGAAAGAUCCUUAAAAAGGUUUUACAUGGACAAAGUGCACCCAUUAAGUACAUCGAUGGGUGUUCGAUCACUUGAAAUAAAUAAGGAUCCGUUCCGACCUCCAGAAGAGGAUGAGGAACUCAUUGGUCCUGAAAUACUUUAUCUCAGUGCAAUUGGUGCACUUAUGUAUCUUGCUAAUGCUAACAAAGGUGGUGCAUAUCGUAUUGGUUAUACAGAUGGAGAUAAUUUAUCUGAUCCCUAUAAAGUUCGGUCUCAAACUGAGUAUGUGUUUACAUGUGGAUGUACUGUCAUAUCAUGGCGCUUCACAAAGCAAUCUAUUGUUGCUACUUCUUCAAAUCAUGCUGAGAUAAUAGUUAUUCAUGAAGCAAGUAGGGAAUGUGUAUGGUUGAGAUCAGUGAUUCAUUUUAUUCAAGAAAAAUAUGGAUUGGAAUGCAAUAAAAAACCCACAAUAUUAUACGAAGACAAUGCUACAUGCAUAGCCCAAUUAAAAGGAUGAUUUAUAAAAGGAGAUAGAAUAAAGCACAUUUCACCAAAAUUAUUCUACACACGUGAUCUUCAGAAAAAUGGUAACAUCGAUAUGCAACAAAUCCGUUCAAGUGACAAUCCAGGAGAUUUGUUCACUUUGCCAACUUCAACUUUUGAGAAGAUGGUAUACAAGAAAGAUUGGAAUGCGAAGACUCAAAUAAUUGGAACAAGGUUUUCAUCAGGGGGAGUGAAAUAUGCGUUGUACUCUUUUUUCCUUACUAAGGUUUUUCUCAUGGGUUUUUUCUUGUAAGAUUUUUAAUGAGGCAGCUAGAAUUGCGUAUUACUAAAUAUGUGUACUCUUUUUCAUUCACUAGAAUUUUUCUCAUUGGGUGUUUCCUAGUAAGGUUUUAACAAGGCACAAUAUCUUUUAAUGAACAUCAAAGGGGGAGUGCUAUAAAUAUAUUAUAUUAUGGGUGUUCAUUUAGUACUCCGCUGUAAAUAAGCUUCCUGAAGAAGCUUAUCCAUAUGGGACUCCGCCGUAAAUAUGUUUAUCUAUUUAGUACUCUGUUGGAAAUAAGCCUCCUGAAAAAGCUUAUCCUUUCGGUACUCCGUUAUGGAUAAAUAUUACCCCAGGUAGAAGAUUAUCUAUAUCUGGUACAGUAGCAGCUUACAAGCAGCUUGCACAAUAACUUACAAGAAGCUUACACAACAGCUUGCAGUAUGUCACGACCCCAAAUCCACUAGCCGUGAUGACACCUAACCCAACUCGCUAGGUAAGCCAACUAGUAACUAUCCAAUUUCAAUGAUAUUAACAAGACAAAUAAACGAUAGUAAUUUACUGAAUUUUAUACAUUUCUCAAGGACUGGUAGUACAAAUCAUAAGCUUCUAAGAAUAGAGUUUACAAAGCUAAAAUGAAAUAAAUACAUAGUCUGUUUGAAAAGUACAUAAACCGAGUUUUAUAGAUCUAAAGCAACCACGAACAAGGGGCAGCUACAACCAGGACGCAUGUACAUCUUCAAUCCAGCUCCCAUCGAACACAGCAACAACAACAACCAACAUCUGCACGCAAGGUGCAGAAGUGUAGUAUGAGUACAACCGACCCCAUGUACUCAGUAAGUAACAAACCUAACCUUAGGUUAAAAGUAGUGACGAGCUAACACAAGAUCGGGUACAAUACCAAUAUUCCACAACAGUUCAUAACAACAUAAUACAUGUAAUAAGAGAUGUAUCUCAGAAGUAAAAUGCUCAUCUCGUUCAAAAUUCCAGAAAAUAGUCAUGCUUUUCAAGUAUCUUAGUGAAAACCCAAAUCCUUUACCGAAAAUGUCAAAAAUACGAGUAAGUUUGAAAACUGUAAUUUUUUUCCAAAUAUCCAUUCCACAAUAUAUAAGAUGUUUCAUUUUCUUUCCAGAUAGCAAGUGUGAAAUACCUCUCUAUACCCACAUAUCAAUGUGUGUAAAAAAAAACGUCAUGAAUGACGUGAUACCGUAUAGCACGAGAAAAAAAUGCAUUUUUAUGCCUGUAUGUCAUGUGUGCAUGUCAAUGCCAUGCAUCUCAUAGAUGAAUCAUGUAUUCACACUCUCAGAGUAUUCAAUCUCACUGUCUCGCAUCCUCUCUCACUAUGCUCAAAGCUCAGCACACUCAAUCACUCAGCGAUGUACAAUACCCGUUGCGUCGUGUAACCCGAUCCACAUAUGCAUAGUUGACUGCGCCCACUUAGGUGUGUAGACUCUGCAGGGGCUCCUUCAUCCCAAGCGCUAUAUCGCUGCGGCGUGCAGUCCGAUCCCAAAAAAAUGUAAUCAAUAUAUCGAUGCGGCGUGCAACCCGAUCCCAUAAAAUAUAAUCAAUAUAUCGCUACGGCGUACAGCCCGGUCCCAUAAAAUGUAAUCAAUAUAAUAUGUUGCGGCGUGCAGCUCGAUCCCAAAAUGUCACUCUCACUCAGGCCCCCGGCCUCACUCAGGCAUCAAUCUCUCCAGUCUCACUCACGGGCUCACAAUGUCAUGAAACUAGCCCGACAAUAAUGAUAUGAUGUAUCAAUAAAUAAUAUCCGAGACUGAGUUAUGAUAUGAAUGCAUGGAUAUGACUGAAUACGAAAUAUCAAUAAAAUCAGUGAGAUGACAGUAAGAAACGACCACUCGGGGUCCAAACAGUAUAAGCAUAAUGCCUAAACAUGAUAUUUAGUAUGAUUGACAGCUUAACUACUUUAUCACAUGGUGGAAACACGGAUAUUAGCAAAGUAGGACCACUAAAUAGUGCCAUAGAAGCAGCAGAGUCCCAAUUCACAUGGUACACGCCCACACGCCCGUCACCUAGCAUGUGCGUCACCUCAAUACCAAUCACAUAACACAUAUUGCGGGGUUUCAUUCCCUCAGCACUAAGUUUAGAAGAGUUACUUAGCUCGAACGAGCCAAUACCAAUGUCGAGCAAGCCAAGCGAUACUCCAAAGAUGCCAUCACGCGUGUAGUGACAUCCAGACGACUCAAAACUAGUCAAAAGCAACUCAAAUACAUCAAAUAAAGCCCAAGGAAAUAAUUUCAAAUGAUAAAGAUCGAAUCCUUAAUCAAAACCCAAAACUGGCCAAAAAUUACACCUGGACCCACGCAUCGGAACCCGACAAAACUCACAAAAUCCAACAACUCAUUCAAUUACGAGUCCGACCAUUCUAGCUUCACUCAAAUCCGACCUCGAAUCGAUGUUCAAAAUUCAAAAAUUCAUAUUAUGAAACUUUAGGCUCAAACCCCAAUUUCCUCUUUAAAAUUCACAAUCCAAUUACCAAAAACGAAGGUAGAUUCAUGAAAUAUAACCAAAACCGAGUAGAGAAUACUUACCCCAAUUCAUAUGGUAAAAAUUGCCUAAAUCUGAGCCCCAUAGCUCCCAAAAUGAAGAAAGAACCAAAACUCUCGAUAAUAUAGCUUCUGCCCAGCCAUUCCGCAUUUGCGGACAAUUCGUCGCAUCUGCGGUAAAAAUUUCGCUUCUACGAAAACAACUGACCCAGCAAAUCCCUCGCACCUGCGGCCUUUAAGCCGCUUCUGCGGUUUCGCAGGUGUGUCCAAGCACCCGUACCUGCAAUCCUCACGCCCAGCUCCCCUUCACGCUUCUGCGACUCCUAUGUCGCUUCUGCAACCAUCGCACCUGCGCAAAACCAGCCGCAUGUACGAUCACACCAGAACCAGCAGCCUUCAGCAAAAAUCCAAAAUGCAAUGAAAUGAUCCGAACCUCGUCCGAAACUCACCCGAGCCACUCGGAACCCCGUCCGAAUAUAUUAACAAGUCCAAUAACAUAACAGAGGCCUAUUCGAGGCCUCAAAUCACAUAUAACAAUAUCAAAAUGACGGAUCACACCUCAACUCGAAAUCAAUGAACUUUGAAACUUCGAACUUCCACAACCGAUGCCGAAACUUAUCAAAUCACGUCCGAUUGAUUUCAAAUUUUGUACACAAGUCUCAAAUGACAUAACGAAGCUAUUCCAAUUCCCGGAAUCAUAAUCCGAAUCCAAUAUCAAAAGGUUCACUCCCGGUCAAACUUUUCAAAAAUUCAACUUUUGCCAUUUAAGCUAAAGUCCACUACGGACCUCCAAAUCGCAAUCCGGACGCGCUCCUAAGUCCAAAAUCACCUAACGGACCUACCAGAACCAUCAAAACUCCGUUCUAGGUUAAAAUUUACAAAAAGUCAAACUUGGUUAACUCUCCCACUUUAAAGUUUCAACAAUGAAAUCUAUUUUUCCAAUUCGAUUCUGAAUAACCUGAAAAUCAAAACCGACGAUUCACAUAAGUCAUAAUAUAUUAUACGGAGCUACUCAUGUCCGUAAAUUAUCGAGCGAAGUGCAAAUACUCAAAACAACCGGUUGGGUCGUUACACAGUAGCAGUUUAUAAGCAGCUUGUAGUAGCAACUUCAUUUCUUCUAUAAAUAGAGGAGAAUUCAGUUCACUAUGUACAUCAGUUUGAAAUUGAAUAAAAAUAUCAAUCUCCCUAUAUACUUGUCUUCGAUUUAUUUACUUUACAAUCUUUAUUUUAUAACAUUCAUAUACUUUUGCUGCAAAAUAAUUGGCAUUAUUGUUUUCGCACAGUGUAUUUACAUCAUUCAAUUCAAAUUUGAGAAAAUUCAAUAUUUACCGCAAAAAGGGUUAAAAUGAAUAGAAUCCAGCUAGAGAAUUAUUUUCGGAAAAUAAUUUUUUCGGAAAAUAAUUUCUGGAAAAAUUGACAUAUUGGAUUGCUUAGGUGGAUGACUAUGUAAGUAAAUCUAAUCCAAUUAGACUGACACAAAACUAACAGUUUAAGAGUGAUUCAAAAAAUAGACGGGAUAUUUUUGAUACAAAAAACAAACAAAUUACAUUUUUGAUUUUGAGCUAUUUCAGUUAGUUAGUGGCAUUUUUGGCCCUAUUCCGUUUAAACGAAGAACACAAAGCUUUGAUCAAAAGACAAAAAAGCUACCACGGUGGAUGCACUGUGUUUUCUCACUUUGCCACAUCAUCCUCUCUAUUCCCCGCCCCCACCGGCCGCUACUCCACCGGCAAGUCGCCGUCGGCGAACUCGUCGGAUCUUCUAAAACCCUUCGAAUUUUUAUAUCAUUCAUAAAAUGAGUCGAUAACGCUUGCUUUACUCGCAGAUCUAAUUCAGUGUCGCAAUAAGUUGGAAGGAUUUGUAAAAGCAGUAUAUCAAUUUACUAAUGGCUGCGCCGAAUAUGGAUCAAUUUGAGGCCUAUUUUCGGCGAGCUGAUUUCGAUCAGGAUGGUCGGAUCAGUGGCCCUGAGGCUGUUGCCUUUUUCAAAGGCUCCAAUUUGCCUCAACCAGUCCUCGCUCAGGUUUUUUCAUUUCUGCAUUUUGUUUUUUUGCCACCUGCCGUUUAAUAAGAAGAAAUAGAAUUAAUAUAAUUUUUGUUAUGCUACUAAGUUUUCAUAAUUAGGCAAGCUGGUCCUGUUUCAAUGCGCUUAAGUUUGAACUGUUUCACAUAGCCAUGAAGUUCACGUGAUUGCUACGUACUUCAAUUUUUUUUUUCUUGCUCUAUUGUUUGAAGCACGUUAGGUAUAAUUUUUUAGAUCAUUUUAGCUGCUAAUUUUGUCGCAUGAUAGGUAUAAGGGGGUGCGCUGAGAUGGAAUAUAUGGUUAUUCAGUUGUUUGGCAAAAAGUAAGUUUUUGCAGUUAUUAUACCGAACUAAUUUUCAGGAACUUGAGGAAUUAUGAUAAUGGAUAAUAGAUACUGAAAAGUUUCUUCCAGUGGUGAGAUGAUUUUUUUUACAAGAACUGUCACAACCAUAGCUAUGUUUUGAUAAUUUGAAACCUUCAGUUUCAAUUCUAAUAAUACAUAAUAGUGGUCCACAAACUGAGGGAAAGAAGAAAGAGCUUACUGGUGAAUCCAGGACCUAGUUAGUAAAAUAUGUUUUAGUAAACUUGAGCAGAGGAAAAAGAGUGACAAAUAACUUUGUGGUUCAGCCUGUGAUUGUUGAACCGUGUCUCGAUAUUCUAGCUGGUGUUGUAUUAAGUAGCUCUGCAAUUAAUAUGCUGCUUGCUAGAAGUCAGGUCUAGGUAUCAAGUUCAACAUAGUCAAGUUGGGGAAGAAGUAGUUUGUGUAGUCUCUCUGACUCUUGUUAGAUAUCUGGAGCUAUCGAUGUACUAAUGUUAUUUUUAAUACUAAAUUUCACAUUUUCUUUUGCUUUAUGUAGAUAUGGACCUAUGCUGAUCAAAGUCGUACUGGGUUCCUUGGUCGCCAAGAAUUUUAUAAUGCUCUUAAGCUCGUCACAGUGGCACAAAAACGAGAGUUGACUCCAGAAAUAGUGAAGGCUGCACUAUUCACUCCAGCUUCAGCUAAAAUUCCUGCCCCCCAAAUAAACCUUGCAGCUGUACCCGUUCCCCAACCAACUAAUAAGGUUGGGGCUGCAGUUCCUCCAGUUAGUGGUGCUACUCCAACAGCAUCUCAAACUUUUGGCAUUAGGGGUCAACAAGGCUUACCAGCUCAGCAAAGUCAUUACAUGAGGCCUCCUCGGCCCUCGAAUCCAAGCCCUGGUUUCCAAUCUCAACCAAAUAUUUCUGGUCAAGGAAUGCUAGUUGGAAGUACUGUUGUAGCUUCUCGCCCUCCCAGUUCCACUGAUUUGCCUGCUGGUCGGAAUGGUGGCUCACAAGCAGGUCCUGGUUCCCAAGCCCCAAAUACAAGUGUCAGUUCUAGAAGUCAGGAUGCAUUUGGUCUUGUUGCAUUGACGCCUUCUGCACAACAAACCCAACAAGCAACCACGUCAUCACUGCAACUAGAUCUAUCAAAAUCAAAUGAUGCAACUUUGUCGCAUGGUAACCUGCCUGAUGCUAAAGUUCCUAAAGCCGUUCCAGUGGCAGGAAAUGGAUUUCCAUCGGAUUCACUCUUUGGAGAUGUUUUUUCAGUUGCGUCAGUUCAACCCAAGCAAAGCUCCACACCAACUAUAUCUUCCGCAGUUUCAUCAGCCACAGUCCCAACACCUACAGGGCCCCAACCUCCUAUAAAGGCUAGCUCAGUUGAUUCGCAGACUACACUUCCUCAGCAACCGGUUCACCAGCACCAGCAAGCUCAUUUGAUUGUGAGACCGAACCAACAGUUUCAAGUGCAAAGUUCUGCUGCAAUUCCUAGUGCAGCUAGAAAUUCUCUUCCAGGCCAGUCUCAGCUUCCGUGGCCAAGGAUCACGCAGUCUGACUAUCAGAAGUAUAGCAAAGUAUUUAUGGCAGUGGACACAGACAGGGAUGGAAAAAUUACUGGCACGGAGGCACGGAGCCUGUUUCUAAGUUGGAAGCUGCCUCGAGGUGCGAUUUGCUCUCUCUGAUUUAGCUCUUAGAUUCCGUGUCCUUCUGUUCGAUCCUUCUUGUUACUAAGAGUAAGCGCUUAGGUUUGUUACCUCUUGAACUGUUUAUUGGAUUCAAACUGCUCAAAACUUCAGCAAAUGGUGCAAUUCUAUCCUUUUCUGACUUAUGUUUACUUCUCUUGUUAGUUUUUCCCUUUCUCUUGAUAUUUACUUCACUUUACUUGUCUUAGGGAAACCAACUUGAGUUUGCUUAUAUAGAAAGAGUCAUUGAAAAGGAAAUGGUUGUCGAAAAGUUGUCGGAAAAUUUUGGAUUGCCGGAAGCCCACAGGGCUUUGGUAUAGUGGUAAGAGCGCAACUUGUGAUGUGUGGGUUAGACGCACGUCACAGGUUUGAACCCUGCUGCAGACAAAAGCCUGGUGUUUAAGUGGAGAAGGAUAGAAUGACGGGCCCAUUAUCCAUCGAGUUUCAAACCGUGCGCCAUUGGCCCUCAGAGACUUCUCAGUCACCAAAAAGAAAAAACAGUUUGGAUCUCCGGAAUCUCACUGGAAGAGUUGUAGUCACUGUCUUGUGGAAGAAAUUUUAAUUUCCAGAAUCAAAUUUUUGCUGCUGGAUCAUUGGUCGGAGUAUUAGUAGGAUGGACUCGGUGCCAUUAGAACUAUCACUUUGAAAGAGCCAUGGCACUGUGUACUAUUUGGAUGUAGAGAUUCCCCAUUACGUCUAAAUAGUUUAGUAAAAAGACAUUCUACCUAUGCCAAAAUGUCCUGUUAUUGGACAAGUCCUCACUGAUGGAUUGAGCCAGUUGUCAUCUGUAGAUUAGUUAUUGGUAGAAGUUGCCUUGCCAUAAAGAAUCUUAACGUCAUAAUAGCAGUACUCUGUCCAUUAAUUUUACAUGCUGGACACGGAGAUUAAGGAGUUAAUUUGAGUCCCAAUCGUAUUUCUAGAGAUAGAAGAAAAUAAUUGUGUUACUUUGUAUAUAAAGUAGGUCCUGUGGACACUGCAUUAUUGCUUGUUAAAAGGUGUAAUUCACUCUGUUGAGCACCUUACAAGUGGGUGAGUUUGGAUUAAGCUACAAAUGGAUUGCGAGAAAAAGUGGGACUUGAGGAUAACAACAUUGAGCAUAAGAUUUUUUUUUGAUAAAGACCAUUGAUUACUAAAGACACAUUUGGACCAUGUAUGCUAUUGAAGUGAGUAAUAAUCUGAAACUUACUGCGACUACCAUAAUUACUUGUAAUAUCCUAAAAAACAAAUAUGAAAUAUAAUUUUUAUGAUAAUAAGAAAGUCGUCGUAUAGAGUAUAAACUGGACAGAAAAUGGAAUUCACCAAGUACAUUCUUCCCUGAACAAAGAAGUUCCAUUCUUGGGGCUUUUACUUUAGGUUUCCUAGCUUUACAGUUUCCGUUCAACAGCUAGUAGCUUUUGCAACAGAAACUUACAAUGUUAGUAAACAGUAGUGGUAGAGCAUACCAUGUUAAAAAAAGGAACAGCAAAUUAGUGGUAAAGCAUAUGAUUCUCACUUCUUUGAGACUUGUCGCUACAAUUGCUUUGAGGCAUUGUACUUGCUGUGUCACAAUGCUAAGCUAUUGGUCACUUGGCUCUUUGGAACAUUGUUUGUACGACCUACUUAGAGUGUGAUAGCAUAUCUCUUACUCUUUUGAGAAUCUUGCCUACAAUUAUCUUAGAAUAUCUUGGUCUCUAUCUUAAAGCCAAACUGGUGUUUACUUGGUCCUUUGGGACAUUAAUGCAGUUUGCUUUUGGUUUAUCAGAGGUCUUAAAACAGGUGUGGGAUUUAUCGGAUCAAGACAAUGACAGCAUGCUUUCUCUGAGGGAAUUCUGCAUUGCACUUUACCUGAUGGAGCGGCACAGGGAAGGUCGCCCUCUUCCUUCAGUCCUUCCAGCUAAUCUUAUCUUUGACGAGUCGUUAUUGCCUGCUUCUGGUCAGCCUACAGGAACACAUGGUGCGACAGCUUGGAGACACACAUCAGGUAUAUUUCACCCUUUUUACACUAUGCACAUAUAUGUUUUGGACAUGGUUUGUGAGCAGUGGUGGACCCGGAAUUUUAUACAAGCGGGUUCAAUCUGAAAAGACGAUAAAUAAAAAUAUGGACGUCGUUGUGCCCGACAAAUGUGAUUUAUGUAUGUGCAUUCCUUUUCCCCUAUUCAUAACUCGGACUCAAGGUGAAACCAUUUUGAACUUGGAGUUGGCGCUCGCUAGUUAUUAAAUAACGUUGAAUUUUUUAAUUUGUUUUAACAAAAACUAUAAAACUUUAAUUAAAUAUUUGUAAUUAUCUAUCUAAUUUAAUUUAAAUUUGAAAAAUAUCAACUGCCUUUUAAACUUAAAAAAAUCUAUUUAAUAAUUCUAAAUUUUUUAUUGAACUCUAAGAAAAAUCUAUUUCUUGUUUAUAAAUAGCAAAGUUGUUAUUUACUGAGAAGAAGACAACAAAUAUAAAGAGUUAUAAACAUUUUAACACAAAUUAUUAAAGAAAAGCAACUUAUAAGCUAACGAUUCCAAUGGAAUCCAAAACAUUUAAUUUGAACAUAAGCUAAAUCAAUAAAGUAUAAAUAAUAUAAAAACAUUAUACUUGCAUAUUUUAACAAAUUUAUUAAAUAGAAGCAAAAUCACGAAGUUUUAAUUUCUUAAAACGUAAAAUGAACUUUUAAAUGACUCUUAUUGGAUGAGAAUAAAGAAAACAAGUAAAAUACAUACAUUUGCAAAGUCAAAUAGAAAGAAAAGGAAAAGAAAAAGAAGUGAAAUAGAAAGGAAGGAAAAACUAGGACGGAUGGAGUAAAGACGUAAAACUCACGCACGAAUCACAUAUAACCACAGAACAAUAGCAGCAGGGAUUCGAAAUCACGACCUUCUUGAAAUAUAUGAACCCGCUUUGCCAUCUUUCCGCUUCUGUAUCUUCGGUCAAGCGGAUUCAAUACAUUACAAAUAAUGAACUAUAUAAAAAGUUUUAUUUUAUUGAUAAUGGGAAAGCGAGGUAUACCAAAAAGUAGAUAAUAUACAGAAAGGUAUGAUUCUCUAUGAAAGACAUCCAAUCUUCUAUACAAUAGAUCGAAGCACUGAAAGAUGAGACAAUAUCGAAGUAAAACAUAUUUCACAGAUUGUACUGGUUUUUGAUGUUGGCAUCUUUUUUUGCCGUAGGUUUAAUUCUGUUUGUUGUCCUAGUGACGCGGAAUGUAUUUUUACUUUGGGGCUUUAUUCAAACUAUGUUAUCCUUUUUCUGGUUGUAGAUUUAUGUACUAUUUAAAUAAAAAAGAACAAAAACAGUAUUUCUGGAAUGGAGGAGUGUUAUGCGAUAGGAAAAACCUACAAAAGUGAAAGACAAGUUGAACAUAAUGGUUAUGAGACCAGACUUCAUCAAAGAAAUAAUGGUUAUGUGACCAGCCAGUUGAGCAUUAGGCAUCUAAGGCCCAACAUAUUCACAAAAUGUAAAAGGUGAAUAAUAAGAUAUAUGUGCAGUCACACAUUAUUAAACAAUAUAUGAAAUGAGCACAUCUGAUAUAAAGUACAAGUAGCACUCAGAUGAUAAAACGAAAUAUGGUCACUUGAGAUGGUAUGACCAUGUCAUACGUAGCAGUAUUCUUAGAGGCUUGCUUAAGGCGCAUUUAAGUUUUGAAGCUAGCUAAUCAGGUUCUGCACAUUCGCCUUGCUUGGGUGGAGCUAUAUUGCAGGCAUCGUUGUAUUAAGGCAUUACGAUACCAACACUAAGUAAUAAAUAUUGUUGGUAGAGUGAUAAAUUGUUAACAAUACAUUAUGAAUGAACUGUUUAGUAAUUAGGAAUAACAAAUUAUAAAUCUAGCAUAAGAAAACUAAUCGCUGUAAACUUCAUCUUUACAUCUAAAUAAAAGAUGUUAAAUGUUUCUUGAACUUGAUUGACGUGAUGUUUUACUUCAUGUAUUUCUCUUAAUUGUAGUUUUUUAAUUGUUCUAUCCUAAUCCUUUUCUCCCAUUUAUUAUUAGUUUUUCUUGUAUUACAUAUAUGGUUUUCUUUUUUUCUUCAUUAGUUCCUUUCUUCAGUAAAACAUGUGGUGUGAAUUUUGAUUGUUUUUUGUGCUUAAAGCUCAGUAGACCUUAGGGCUUUUCUAUGCCUUUGCUUGGCUAUUCUAUGUACAACUCCAAAUAUGCUAGUCUCUGGUGUGACAUUACGAUGAUUGAAGGUGUUAAAUGGGGAUAAGAUGGAAUAAAAUUACAUUGAGAGAAGUUGUCUUAAAAGACCUACAAUCUUUUAAAAUACAUAAAUAAGAACUAAAUACAAUAGAAGCAAAAGAAAUAUAGGCGAUACCAUUGUAUCAAUUAGCUGAGGUUAAGGUUUAGUCAUGUUAAAUCCAGCGAUUAGUUUCUCUUCCCAUACAUUUAUGUUUUUUUUCCUCAUUAGUUCCUCUCUUUGCUAAACCCUAAGCCUUAAUUGCACUUUGUGCUUAAAGCUCUGCAGACCUCUGGUGCUUUUCUACAUUGUUCGCUUGACAACUCAUCGACGUAGACCUCCAAAAUACACCAUUCUUUUGGUGCCACAUAUGCGGCAUUACGAUGUCUGAAGGUAUUAAAAAGGAUAAGAUUCAUCAAAAUUACAUUGAGAGAAGUUGUUUUAAAAGACCUUUCAAUCUCUAAAUAUAGUCGUACAUAAUUGAAAGCAAAACACAAUAAAAACAAAAGGCAUAUUAGGCGAUACCAUUAUAACCAAUUGGUUAAGGUUAAGAUUUAGUCAUGUUAGAAGUACACUUAUGUUCGGUGAUUGCCAAGAGUCUCUCUAGUUUGUUUAACGUUUUGUAUGUAGAUAGAAAAUAUGGAGAACUUCUAGAGAAACCAUAUUUGCCUCUAGAGACAAAUUAUUGUUGAAAUUAAGCGGGUCCAAAUGGAGUGGAAUGAAUAUUGAUGAUUCCCAGGCGAACCGACUAGUUUGAAAUGAGGUGCGAUUCGAGCUGAACUGACUAGUUUUAAAUGAGGCAUAAUUAUUUUGUUGUUGUGAAUACAUUCAUGGAACAUUUUUCUAAGAUCCUUUUCAAAUGUCUACCUCAGAACCUGUUAUAUAUUUGAGAUAAAAGAUAGAAGUUUAAAACAGAAAGGUGGAUUUGAAGGGGGUGCUGGUGUGCAUGGAAGAGCUUCAAUAAUCUUAGAGUUUGUUGAAGCAAGACAAAUCAAUGUUCUCUGCUUUCAUUUCUUUGGAUUUACUCAACGUUUUGUUUUUGCUUUUUAUUAAAAAUAUUAAUCCUAAAAAGCACAACUUACUCAUAUGGGUUGCUAAAUAUUUUUUCUGAAGUUUGACAAAAAACUUUUUCUUCUUU